UCAGAUGAUCUAAUACUCAAAGUAUUAAACUAAUCAUAGCCAACAGGCGGGUAACAAACUAGUUAAAUAUUUGAUUAUUUUCACUAAAUAAAAUUUUGACACAUAAACAUAUUUAAAAAAUGAAGCUUUCUCUCUUUUAAACUAAUCAAAUUUAAGAUAAUAUUUUUUAUAUAUUUUAAUUUGCCCAAAUACUAAAAUCUAACUUAAAAUUUGAGCAUAUUGUCAAAUCUAGCCAAUAGUUCCGGUCUUUCGUCAAUUCUAACCCGUUGACCAAAAAUUUGUCCAAAUCCUGCAUCAAGCACCUUCAUGAGCUUCUGAAGCAAAGAUUCGUCGGUGGAGUUGAAGAAAUCGUAGAGGCGGAGUUGGAAUCGGAGGGAAAUCGAGAUGACUAUUCCUAACCCUUUCUUGGAGCUCGUCAAAGCACAAAUCCAAUGAUGAAGUCGAAGAAGUCGUAAAUCCGAAUUAAAGACAGUGGGAGGUUGUCAAGUUGGCCAACCGAAAUCAAGAAGCGGCUGGGGAGAAGAAGUCCCAUCUUCGUCGGUGAUUUCCUUGAAAAUCCCACCAUUAUGUAGGAUUUGGACAAACUUAUUCUAAAACGAACCACUUCAACCUCCAACCUUUGCCAUAGUUGACCCACUUAGUCGGAGAUUUGUUGACACUAUUUAUCUUAUGCAUCAAUUUUAGCCUCCCUUUUAACCUUGUAGCGAUGAGUUGUGGCAAAUGGAUGGAGACUAUUUUAAUCUUUCAGCUUUUUAACUCAUUGGUUGAAGACAUCUUGCUAUUGCAGGAUUCGAUAAUGGCAGAUGAGGGGACGAAUAUUGAAAACGAAGGGAGUUCAAGAGUCCAACCUCAAGAUUGGAGAAAAACUGAACGUGAAAAUGAACGAUCAUCAAAUGUCAUAAUCAGGCUAGAGAAGAAUAAGACGCCAGAGCGGAAGACUGAGAUCUUUAAAGAAUGGGAGAGAAAAGAAACGAGGGCAAAAAAGCAGGAGACUGUAACAUUCUGCCCGAUCGUAUCGAAAAUACCCGUUAAAUUAACUUAGUACAUGGUAAUGUACAGAUUCAGGAUAAAAUGUAAAUGAUGUGUUCUCAUCAUCUUGGUAUGGAACAACACAAGUUUUAUAUAUAAUGUUUGAAACAUGAGUUAUCAAGAAGACAAGGAUAAUUAUCAUGAGAAGAGGAACUCACGUGCAUGCAUGCACAUAUUACCUCACUUCAUGACAACAAUUUCAAUUGUCUUAUUCCCACCUCUUCAUCCCUACUUGUCUUUUUCUUUCAUUCUUAGAGAAAUGAACCGUAGCAUUUUUUUAGGAUAAGCAUUCUUUGUGAAUAAAAGAACAAAAUGAAAGAGUAUAAAAGGGGGGCAGACACCCAUUUUGUAAAAGGCACAGACACAAUGUAGCUUAUAGCCUUGAUACUUAAGAGAAAUAUAGCACGGGUACUCACUUCGUAUCAUCAAAGAUCUUUGGAAUUACGUUAUCGACUCAGAAGCUUAUAUUGGUAUUCUCAAGAAUUAUUUCUGGUGAGGGUCUUCUGCGUAUCCGACCGGGUUAGACGUUCCAUUAUGAGUUUAUUAUUAUUAUUAAGGCUAUAUGCAUGAUAGGGUAACGUCCAUUUAAUCUUAAGAUUUUAUAUGCUUCUUUACCAUAUUUAUUACUUAAUAUGAUACAUGUUCUGUUACUUUGCCGAUAUAUUUAAUUUAGUAUAUGUGUUAAUAUGAGCAGUAGCUNNNNNNNNNNNNNNNNNNNNNNNNNNNNNNNNNNNNNNNNNNNNNNNNNNNNNNNNNNNNNNNNNNNNNNNNNNNNNNNNNNNNNNNNNNNNNNNNNNNNNNNNNNNNNNNNNNNNNNNNNNNNNNNNNNNNNNNNNNNNNNNNNNNNNNNNNNNNNNNNNNNNNNNNNNNNNNNNNNNNNNNNNNNNNNNNNNNNNNNNNNNNNNNNNNNNNNNNNNNNNNNNNNNNNNNNNNNNNNNNNNNNNUUCACACACCGCAAAAUGCUAUCAUCGAGCUCCGGGGUCGGUCAUCAUGGUGACGACGCCAGGUAGAUAUCGAAGAUUGUGUCUUGAUCCUCGUUUUGUAUUUAAAGUUUGUUUGAGACUCUUACUUCCAUCAUGUGCAUAUGUUAUGAGUGGUUGUGUACUAGUACAAUGUGAGAUAUGGUUUUGUAAAAUAUAGUGGCCGAGAGGGCAAGUAUAUGGUUACUCUGGUCCGAGCCUGUGAAGCUCGAGACUUCUGUUCUAUAUGUAUAUGCGUCCUGUUGGACUUUUGGUUUAGUGUAUGAUAUUGUGAAAAGUCAAUAAGUCAUAUAUGACAUCUUGAGCAGUUUUUGUAUUGACGAAUUAAUUAUUUGAGUACAUAUAAGCACAAUCCUAGAUUAUGAUGAAGAAAUUAAUCGGAUGGGUGUAAACAUUAAAUUAUGUAUACGGUAUAAGUAGCGUAGCACUCUAUUCUUGCUUCGUUGUUUUAUUUUAAAACGAAUAUGUUAGCAUUAUGGGUGUUACAGAGACUAUGGAGACUUCACAUGUAGCGACCAUGUUUGUGGAAGUAGAGGAUUUAAGAACCCAACCUUUAAGUUGGUAGAAGAAUUCAACGUGAAGACGUACAAUCAUCAAGAAAGUUAAAGAAUCUACUGAGGCACGAGGAAACUGGAGAGACUUUGCAUGGAGCUGCUAUUAUUUUGGAAGGACAGGAUUCAAGAACCCAACCUCAAGAUGGAAAAAGAAAUUGUAUGUCGUUGUUUUCCGAGUGUAUCUUAUCACUACUCUGAUUUUUGUAGGCAUUAUGGCAUUCUCAUUUGGGGUAUAUAACUGUCAUAACCCGGAGGCUAAAAAUGCAGGAAACUGGGGAGACUUCGCAUGGAGCAGUCAUUACUUUGGAAGGACCAGAUUCAAGAACCUAACCUCAAGAUGAAAAAAGAAAUUGUAUAUAAUAUUUUCUUCGAAUGUAUCUUGUUGCUACUCUGGUUUUUAUAGGCAUUAUGACAUUCUCAUUUGGGGAUAUGGCUGUCAUAACCCGGAGGCUAAAAAAUAGGAGGCCAUAUUUUUAAAUAUGGCAUUUUAGUCUCUUUAAAAACUGAAGUGGCUACAACUUUGAUUUCAACCAGUCUUAUAAUAUAUAUUGUAGUUAUGGUACUAUUUUUUAUUAUGAAUAUAAAGGUACUAAUUAAUCUCACUUAUGAACAAGAGAACUUAUGAUGCUUACUAGGGAAAUUGAAGGUUUAGUUCAGAAUGAUGCACUAUUAACCAAAAGCGUACAUGUUGAUUAUAAAAGCGAAAGAUUAUACCUAAACCCAAGAAAAACAAAUAAUCACUAGAAAAACACCAAACAACAAAAAGAAGAAAAACGGACAGAAUUCUGCCCAUUUCUAAGGUGAGGGACGACUUGCAAUAAUUUCAGAAUCGCGAGUAGGUCAUUGAAGUCUAUUGCGUGAAGUAGAAAAGGACGCAAACCUACCUUUGAUAGAGCAGCCUAUUGCUUCGUGUAGUGAAAAAAUAAGUUGGUUCAUUGUCUUAUCUUCAUUUUCCUCGUGUAAUAUAUCUUUCUUUUCCUCUAUAAUUUUUCAUUAUGAAGAGGAGAAUAGAAGAAAAGGUGGAAGACACUGGAGACUCCACUUUUUCUUUGAAAAAGAAAAAAAUGAAGAAUUUCAUAUUGCCGAAAGGGAGGGAAAACCUUCUCCUCAAAGAGCUGGUCGAUUGUAAGCAUCAUAAGAGACAAUAUAAGAACUACACGAUCUGGUGCUAUGCGUUUUGAAAAUUGAUACAAAACUAUCUCCAAUCAAACCAUCUUGAAGACUUCUCCAAACUCAACAAAUAGAGAUUCUGGUGAAGAAGCAAAGCCAGCUUCAAUUAUGUCAAGGUAUGGAUUAAGUUAGAGGUCAUUUUAGCCUUUUUACCUUUUAACGUUUGGGUUAUGGACAAUCUAAGAAGUAAGUUCGAAUUUUGACUUUUAGGUUUAGUCAGAUGUAACACCCUCACACUAACAGGUUCAUUUUUUAAAAUAAAACAGCGGAGCAAGAAUAGAGAAUGUUACGCCACUUAUACUGUAUAUAUAUCAUUUAAUGUUGUAAACUCAUCCAAUUAAUUCCUUCUUCUUAAUCUAGGAUUGUGCUUAUACGUACCCAUAUAAUUAAUCAGUCCACACAGAAACUGCUCAUAAUGUCAUAUAUGAGUUAUUUAUUAUACACAGUAUAGUACACUAUACCAGAAGUCCAGAAGGACACAUAUACAUAUAGAACAGAAGUCUCGAGCGUCAAAGGCUCGGGCCAGAGUAACCAUAUACUUGCCCUUAAGGCCACUAUAUUUUACAAACCAUUUCUCACAUUAUACUAGUACGCAACCACUCAUAGCAUAUACGCAUGAUGAGAGUAAGAGUCUCAAACGAGUUUUAAAACACAAAACGAGGAUCAAGACACAAUCUUCGAUAUCUACCUGGCGUCGUCAUCAUGAUGGCCGACCCCGGAGCUCAAUGAUACCAUUUUGUAGAUUUGCAGUGUGUGAAUCGAUAAAACCUACUGUCGCUCUGAAAUGGAAAGUAAGGGUCAGUACUAAUCACUAAGUGAGGAUCUUUGUCCUGGCCACUCUAGGUACACAUCAUCAUAUAUACAGUACAUGGCAUAUAACACAUAAGGAUAAUUCUACAAUCUAAUUCAUAUCCAUAUAUUAUUUGGGAUCCCAGCUCACAUAUGCUGACGACCCAUAUACAUAUUAGUGGCACCAAAUCGGCCUGCAUAUAAUGGCGCUUACCAAGGCCCACGAUGAUAGUUAAUGUGGUGCUUACCAAAGUCCACGAAGAUAGUUAGUUGUGGUGCUUACCAAGGCCCACCGCGUAACAGAAGGGCAAUAAGCACAAUCGCCAGCAUACGAGCCCUAACUAGGUGAUCAAUCAAUUAGCGGAUUUAUUCACUAAUCAGUAAUAGCUACUGCUCGGAUUAACACAUAUAUUAAAUCAAAUAUAUCAGCAAAGUAACCAAACAUGUAUCAUAUUAAGUCAUAAAUAUGGUAAAUAAGCAUAUAUAAUCUUAGGAUUAAACGGCCAUUACCCUAUCAUGUAUAUGGCCUUUACUAAAACUCAUAAUGAAACGUCUAACCCGGUCGGAUACGCAGGAGACCCUCACCAGAAAUAACCCUUGAGAAUACCGAUAAUAACUUCCGAGUUGAGAUCGUACGUAAUUUAAAGGACUUGAGUUAUGAACCAAGUAUGAUGCACUAGCUUCUUCUAUAUUUCCUCUAUUUAAGUAUACUACACCAAGUAUUUCUGUACCUAAGAACUAAAUGAACUACUGUGCUAUUUAUCAUGGAAAUGAGUGGCGUACUAUCUCCUCACUACCUAACUAAACCAAAAAGCUAAUUAACAUAAAUUGUCUAGGAGUAAUUUAUCCUUAUCCUUGGUACCUAGACAUUUCAUGCAUCCUAGGAGAAGUCCCAAUGCAUGCAUGGGUGUAAUCUCCCAUCACUUGCCACAUACAUUUUUUAUUUUGUAAGGUAGUGCAUGGCUAGAUAAGCGAACAUAAAAAUCUAUUUUUGUGCAUAUAUAUGCAUAUCUGUAUAAAAAUUGGUUUUGUAUUUGUACACUACCAAGUACCCAAUUAAUUUAAUUGGUAAUUUCGAUAUGAUCGAACCAAAAUGUUUCACCAGAUUUAAAUUCUGGUCAGGCAAUUAUCCCAAAGAAGGGCACCAAAAAGAAGAAGGAAGUACAACAAAAGGAUGACUCUAGGACUUUCACUUCAGAAGUCGACAAGGAUGAGUGGUUCAGACAGUUUGAAGUCACCGGUGUCAGAGAUGAUGGCAUAGUGGAACUUCUUCAUGCUGGAAAGAAAAGUGGCUACUCCAGAGUGGAGAACACAAGUUGUAUGUCAAAAACAAUGAUGCUAGCCUCAAAGAAGUUCUGAGUUGGGUUGCCCCAACUUAAUCAUCCAUGUAUUGUCUAGCUCAAAGACGUAAAUGAAAGAGCGCUUCUUGGGAGGCAACCCGAGCGUUGAGUGUUUCUCUUUUAUUUGUUUUUGCGUAUGUCAUGUAGUUGAAAUAUUGUGAGUCUAUUUUCUUUUAAUUUAUUUCUUGUGGUUUGAUGUAAUAGAUUGACAUUAGCCUAUCCUCUCUUGUUUCUUUUAUUUCUUUGUGGUUGUAGAGCUCUAAUCCUAUCCAGAUGAUGUCUCAAUCUCAUGCGCUGACUGACAGGAGUUUUGAUCAUCAUCCAGACUCUAUAAUGCUCAUUCUCACGAUAUCCACGUUACUACCAUAUUUCUAGCCCUAUCUCACUUGAUUGUUUGGUCCAUUGAGUACAAUGUCAUGUUUAAGUGUGGGGUGAAUUAGGGUGCUUCUUAAUUGAUGGGUACAUAACUUGUGAGUAAUUUUGUUGAAUUGCUUUCCUUACUUUUCGAAAUUCCCUCUUGAGCUUAGCUUGUGGAUGUUAGUGAACGCAUGUUUAGUAUUCUCGUUCUAUUUGUGGAUGUCUUGGAUGUUAGGAUGCCAUUUUUGAACCACCUAUCUUUUGCCAAAAUUAGUAUACUAGAGACUCAUAUAUAUGUUAAAAAUGAAUUGCUACCUUCCACUGUUUUGUUUUGUGUCGUAGUAGAGUGCAUGUAUAUCCACCGAACGAAUUUGCCUAGAUAGUUAUGAAGCUUAAAAUAGGCGGGGGCAGUCCGAAUGGGGUUGCUAAAUAAAAAAUGUCGUGUGUGGGGGGGGGGGGUUGGUUGCAACCGAAAACCGUGGGGGGACCCUGGGGGUUUGGGGUCCUCCCAACCUUUAUUAGGGGGGGGUUGGUUGCAACCGAAACACGUAGGGGGACCCUAGUGGUUUGUCGUCUUCCCAACCUUUAUUAGACUUGGGGCGUGGGCCGGAGACUAGUUACUUCCUAGUGCAGCUGAAGUAGCGAUUAUUUCCCCCAUUUGGAAAAAGCCGCUAUCUAAAAAAGCAAUAAAGAAAGAAAAAAGCAACAAUUCAAUAUUAAAGCUUUGUUUUAAGUAAUAUGUAGUGUUAGAUAGUCAAAUAAGAGGGAGGUGCUAGCAUAACUCGAGUGCUAUUAAAAAUUGAAGCACCUCCUCCCUCAGGACGGAAGAGAAACCCCAGCCAGGACGAGCCGUCGGUCUGUUACUUCCGCUAGCAACUAGAAGAUAUAAGUGUUUGGAGGAUAUGGAGAAGAUAUAAGUGUUUGGGGGAUAUGGAUACACUCUGGUGGUUAGGUGUCAAAUCAUUUAUAUCAUAUGCAUGAGUCUAUCUUAUACUAAUUUAAGGGAUUUAGUGUUUCAUGUCUAAUUGUGUGGUUUGUUUAUUGACUUGCAUUCCUGAACACCACGAUAGAAUUAAGGACCUGAGCUUUGUCUUUCGAUCACCAUAUUUUGUGUAGAUUUUCUUGAGGACAAGCAAGCAUUUAAGUGUGGGGUGAUUUUAUGUGUUGUAUUUUUAGUGUGUCGAAAUGUAUUCAGACUCAGGAUUUUGAAUACAUAUUUAGUUCUCUUGCCCCUCGGGGCCAUAUUAUGUUGUUUGGGAUGUUUUUCAUGCAUUUUCAGGUGAUGUACGUUGUUUGGGGACAAGCGGGAACUAAGACGGACGAUUUAACCUGUUUGGGGCGAAGAUUUGUUGAGGCUGAAGAGGAACACGACAUGUCCUUUGAGAACAUGGCGUGUUCCUCAGGGACACAGCCGUUUCCUUUUCUCCGGAAAGUGACCCGAGAGCUUCUAUUGGUAAGAACACGGCCGUGUUCCACCUUCUGACGGGUUUUUUUCAAGUUGUUUUCAUUCUCCGAUUUGGAAGAGAGGAUAUAAAUAGCCCGAGCAGCCCUUUUGACAGGGAGAACUUUAUUCCAAACAAAAUUUCGAGUUCUUAGAGAGAGAAAGAGUUCUAAAGAUUGAUUGAAGCGAGAGAACAUCACUGAUUGGAGAAGGAUCGAAGAUCGGCGACAAGACUGAGAUUUCUCGACGAAACAUGUUUUCUUUCCAAGUUAUUCUCCUUUCUUUUUCCCUUCUUGUUUCCCGAACCAUGAGUAGCUAAACCUUUCGUGCUGUUCGGAUGAGAUGAAGCUUUAGUCUAUCUUUUGUAUGGAUGAUGGGGUUUCAACCCUUUGAUUCGUAGGUUAUUCAGACGUAUGAUGUGUUCUUGCUAAACCUAAUUUCUGAUUCAAUUUCGUCUGGCUGUCUUAACUGAAUCAUCAACAUUGAUUUGUGGUUCCGAGAGGAACAUAGAUUGAUAGGUCGCUUAGGAAGAACUCUAGAUUACUCGUUAGCUCCAGAGAGAAGCGUUUAAUCUAGGGUUUUUGCAUCGUUUAUCGUUGCGGCAUUUCAUCGAACACCUUUAAUGCGUUUACUUGGGUGUAGAUUAGCUCAAGAGAGGAGUCUACGGUCGAGCAGAAUAUAUCCUUAGAGGCGUGAAAGUGAUCUAAGACUGUCGUAGGAAAUCGCCAAACCAUUAUAACCUAAAUAAUUGAGAUAACUUGUCGUUCAUCCAUGCAUUUCUAGCUGUAGUGGAUUCGAAUCCGAGCAACCUUCAUUCCAUAUUUGAAACUCAUUCUCUUGCAUUUGCUUUCUUUUGAUUUGCAUUCUUAGUUGAUAAUUGGUUACUAAAAACAUUCUUAUAAACCAAUUAUUCACUGUUACUUGGUCUAGUUAGUUAAUCAAUUUGAGUAAUAGCAUUAGAAAGACCCUAGGGAAAUUAACGAUUCCAUUAGAGCAUUCUAGUGGGUAUUUGAUUGUCGAGGUAAAACCCCUUCAUCAAAUUGUAGCUAGGGUUUUGAUUAGUAUAAAAAAUCUACCAAAUAGUAUUUGACGAAGUCAUCGAUAACUUGCAACGCUGUUGGUUGCCCAGUCUCCGGCAGUUCCAAUACAUGAUGCACAUAGUUUCCGCAAAAAAGGGAAGACGAAGCUCUCCGAGGAGAGGAAACCCUAGCUCUCAAAACAAGAGGAAAACUAUCGCCAAAAAAGUCGGGCCGAUCCACCAUUGCCGUAUCUUUGUUGCCGUUUUGUAUUUUCUACUAAUUAUGUUUCAUUUAUAAUUUAUGCAUUUCCAUUUUAUAAUAUUUUUCAUUUUGUAUCUUAUUAUAUAAUACAUAGUUCAUUGAUAUCACAUAUUAUAAGUAUUGUAUUAAUUACUCAACAUGCGUGACGUCAGAUUUUCCAAAAAAUUAGUGAUCCCUUUACCCACUAAAAUCUUCACAAAAUCAUAAAAUAAUGCUUCUAUAGUAUGAUAGAAAGAACAUUUUUUUAGUCCGUCCAUGUUUUCAACUUCAUCGAUUAAAGGUUCUUGUGUAUAAGUUACAAUGCUACGUCAUUACUUUUUAUUUUCUAUACAUAUUUUCUUUUCUAACUAUGAACUGUUUUAAUGUAUACAUAUUUAUACAUCUUACUUAUUAGUUAAACUUGAAUUUGUCAAAUUUUCAGUAUAUUGAUGAUAGUUAUAAUUUUUUCAUAAUGAUAAUGGUAUUUUUAUAACUCAAAAUGUUUGUCACAUAAAAUAACCCGUAAUCAUAAUGACCUAUCCAAAUUAAUUCGAAAUCUCCAAUCACCCGAUUUGACAGUUUUGAUUAGUUCCAUGAUUGUACAAAUUUACAAAACCCGUACAGUUGUCCGGUUCCCUGUCGUUACGGCGUCGUUCUCAACUGCAAUUCUAUUGUUCAGUCGAUUUUGAGAGAUGACCUGCUUUCUUUUCCGGCAGUCUUGGGUUCAUCGCAGGAGGACCUCAGUCGUCAGCUUCCCAAGCUCUAGCCGGAGGAUUGCCGUGAUUCUGCUCCACCUUCCCCAUUUUUAGCGAUCGUGCUGUCGCUCGAUGAACGUUAAACUACCCUUACUGGUAAUUUCUAUGCUCUGAUCCAUUUUAAGGGGUUUGUAAUCCAAAUUCUCUGCCGCCUAAAGCUGAUGCGUUUCAGUAUCUUUUGUGUUUUCUCGUUCAUUCGCUCUUCUUCUUCUUCUUCUUCUUCUUCUUCUUCUUCUUCUUCUUCUUCUUCUUCUUCUUCUUCUUCUUCUUCUUCUUCUCGGUUAUUUGUAAUUUGUACAACUAGGAUAAAAUUGUCUUGCAUAAGAAGGAGCCAGACAAAGCACCGGAGAUGGAAGUCAGCUGGAUUGAAGCCUCUGAUUCUGUUUCCCGUCGUUUCCAGUUUGAACCCGACGGUUACCUUUCUGUGAGUGUUCUAUCUUUAUUUCCCUUGUCAUCUUUUGUCCUGCUCAUUUUGAAAGUUUUCCCGUCCUUCUUUCGAUUGCGCUAUUUAACAAACACUUGGCAUGCACAGUUCUUACGCUUUCCAGCCUUAUGCAUACGCAAUGGGAGCACAAUGUGAAUACUUGAUUUGUAUGGUUUUUGUUUGUUUCCGUCGAAUUGAGUAGCCCGAAUGUUCAUUUUGAGGACUAUCUGCAUAUUCAUGCUCAGUGCAUGUGAAUUUUAGGGUUACAUUUUUCAUUAUUCUGAGUUUCCAUUGGCUUUUCACGAUGGCAAAGAAAGGAGGUUGAACAUGAAAUUCAGCAUUUUGAAAAUGUGAAACACCUCCUUUGAAAUAGGUUGAUAAGCCUGCUGCAUUUUUCAAUAAAUUUUGUAUCUUCAGAUCCUGGCUUCGUACCAUGAACGCUUAAAAUUUGAAUUGCUUGGACUUGCUGACAGCAAGCUCUGCUGGGUCUUACUAAUGUUCUUGGUUACUUACACUAGGUGCCUUUAUGCAAAUUAACUUUGAACUCUAAUUAAGUGGUUGUUCUGAAUUUUCUAGUCCGUAGACUAUCAGCUGUCUAAACUUGUUUGCUACAUACUAUGAAGUUUUCUGUGUAAGGAACACUUAUUAGUUACUCAUAUAUAUACUUUGUGUUAUGCCUAACUGUUAACUGGGACAAAAAGGUGAGGGUGGUGGAUGAUGCAAGACCUGUAGUUCGAAAGGUGGUUGAGUCUUUCGUGAACAAGUUUUUCCCUUCUGGAUAUCCAUACAGUUGAAAUUUGAUUUCCAUAAUCCGAAGAGCCUUAUUUAAUUGAAAACACAAUGUCAAUAGCAUUGUUUUAUGUGGCUUCUGCUCUGUCAACUUUUCAGUGUAAAUGAAGGUUAUCUCAGAUACACACAAUUCCGGGCACUUCAGCAUGUCUCCAGUGCAGCAUUAUCUGUUCUAUCAACUCAGGUCUUUUUCUCCAAAGUACCUUUGAUAAUUGCUGCAGCUAAACUGUAUUUUUUUAACUUGCUAUAAUGCUAUCACUAUUCUUCUAUUUUGAUAUUUUUACAUUCGGUCUGCCAGUUGGAAGUUUGGCAGCGUUAGUUUAUAUUAGAGCUGUAUUUUUAUCCCACUGAAAAUGACUUUUCUGCAGUCCCUACUAUUUGCUGCAGGGUUGCGACCUACACCAGCUCAGGCGACUGCCGUGAGUUGGGUAAGUGUUUAUUUGAUCAUAUAUAUGCUAGUAUCUAAUCUAUAUCAGCGUUUACUGAUAAGGUUGAAUUCUUCAUUUCAUUGCAUGCAGAUAUUGAAGGAUGGGAUGCAACACGUUGGAAAGCUGAUAUGUAGCAAUUUGGGUGCUAGAAUGGACUCUGAACCAAAACGUUGGAGAAUACUGGGUUCGCUUUCCGUUCUUUAAUCUUGAAUUUGAUUUGUGCUUUAUACACCCCUUUCCUCCUUCCUCUGCACUGUGUUGUUGUAAUAACAGCUACGAUUAUCACAGCUGAUUUGCUAUAUGAUCUGGGCUCUGGGUUGGAAGUUAUUUCUCCAUUAUGCCCUAGUCUCUUUCUCGAAGUAGCUGGACUUGGCAAUUUUGCUAAGGUACGUCUGUUUAGUUUUUCAGAUAAGUUAAUGGCCCCUACGUUUUGGAGGCUUGGUGUUGACUGCUUACAUUGGAUAGAAGCAGUCGUGCUCUUAUUCUGGUUGUAGUUAGUUUGUUGCUUAUUGGAGAACUCUCGUUUCAUAGACCUGCAUAUCAGCAAUCCUUUCAACUAUUAUUUUUUCUUUUGAAGGGGAUGGCAGUAGUUGCGGCAAGGGCAACAAGACUACCAAUAUAUUCAUCAUUUGCCAAAGAAGGCAAUUUGAGUGACCUGUUUGCUAAGGGAGAGGCCAUCUCAACACUUUUCAAUACUCUUGGACUGGGAUUAGGGAUUCAACUAGCAACUACAGUCUGUUCCACGACGCAGGGGAAGGUAUGAUGCUAUUAUAAAAGUUUUGAAACAUUAAGAUCGAUUCGGGAAAUACAAAACCAACAUCUAAACUGAAUGUCCGUGCUUCUGAGCGUCUAAUUGUGGAGAUAUUCUUCUAGAUGGUGGUCGGGCCUCUUUUGUCUGUGAUUCAUGUUUAUAGUGUCGUCGAGGAAAUGAAAGCCGCUCCAGUAAAUACAUUAAAUCCACAAAGGACUGCACUAAUUGUGGCCGAUUUUGUAAAGGUUGGUUGUGAACAGCGUGUUCUAUUUUAUUUACUACCGAGUCUCAGUCUUUUCACGUUUGACCUAUAAUUCAAACCAGGAUGGGAAAGUAUCAAGCCCUGCUGAUAUAAGGUACCAUGAAGAUCUGAUGUUCCCGGGAAGACUUAUAAAAGAUGCCGGCAACGUAAAAGUGGGGCAGGCUCUACACAGGGUUAUCAAGCCUUCAAAACUCGACGAAUACAAAGAGAUGUUCCCGAACGAAAAAUUCGUUAUCAGCCGGGGUAAAAAGAACUGCACCAACAUGGUACUGGAGCACGAUGCUACUGGCGAAGAUGCAUUGAGGGGUUGGCUGGUAGCUGCAUAUGCUGCCAACAUGGAAAAUUCGUCCAAUGGGUUCAGUUCGAUAGGGUUGCAAGAUGCUUACGAGAAGAUGGACAGUGCAUUCGACAAGUUCACGUCUGAGUUGCAUGCCAAAGGCUGGCAUACUGAUCAUUUUCUGGAUGGAACCGGAACCCGUUUUGCCUGGUAGCAGGAACUUUUUUUUUUCUAGUCUCAGUUUUAGCAACACUCUGCUACAUUAUGCAGAUGGGAAAAAGGGCUUUCUUUGAUAAACUGAUUAGGGCAUAGUGGUAGCGAUUCUCAAUGUGGUUAGCUAACUAUCUAAUGUGUCUUGUUCUGUGGCCGUGUUCGAGUUCGGUUAUGAGAGCAUUCUGUUAUGUGCAAUUCGAUUACUGAAUGGAGGUAUUAUGUCAUAAAAGAUAUAUUAUAGUCGUUCCACUACUAAAUUUUUUAUACACAGUUUGACAAAUAGUCUUGAACCAACUUAAAGCUUGUACUGGUUAUAGGUUAGACUUGGAUUAAAUAAUACGAUUAUUCUUAUCACUCGUAUGAAUCCGCGACACGAUCAUGCACACAGACUUGGACUAAAUAACCUCAACUAGGCUAACCGGUAAUGAACACCGAGAAGUUCUACAAAGUGAUAAGGUGCUCUUUCAGAAUUAAAGGAAAUCACCAGUAAUCGGAAUUAGUAUUAACUUGGUCCAUCAAUACCUAAGCUACUGAUAACUACACCCAACAUGGUCCAUUAGCUGCAAAUCAGAGCGCCCGCCAAUUAUAAGAUGAACAACCAUUAAAACUAAAAGAAACACGAAAGGUAGAAUCGAGCUAUUCGCUUACCCCAUAGAUAGCUUUUAUCUAUCUUAGAUUGUUAAUCAUAUGAAUUCCNNNNNNNNNNNNNNNNNNNNNNNNNNNNNNNNNNNNNNNNNNNNNNAAUUUGACCUAAUUCAAGUCGUAACAAGAACUAGGUUGAAAACCCAACAAUCAAAGCAAUCAUUCAUUUGAAUCCAAAUAUCCAACAAUCGUCGACCCUAUACUUUUAGGGAGAGUAUCAUAGCUCAAAUUCUACAUCUCAACCAAGAAACUCUAAGGCCUUGCUUGGUAGAGGAAUCUUAAAAUCAUGUAUUUGAUUAAAUAGCAUGUAUUGAAAUGUAAGGGAUUGAUAGUAGGGAUUUUGUUAAAAUCUCUUGAUUGGUAUCUAUGUUAAAGUGAGAUUUAAGAAGUUAAAGUGUGAUUUGAGAAAUGUAUUUUGGGGUGGGAUUUGAGAAUCCUCACAAGCAUGUACUUGAGAGUUUAAAUUACAUGUAUUUGCGCUCUUAUUUUUGCAUACCAAACAAAGGAUAAAUAAUUAGCUACUCGUGAUUAUAGAAGAAGACAAAUCAGAAUUCGACCUAACCAUCAUCUUGAUGAGGAGACGAUGAAUCGAUCUUGCUCCAAUCGUCGCUUUUAAUCUUCUAGCUUUAAUCAUAGCUUCAAUCUUCAAUGGGGACUCCUUUUGAUCUUCCAUUGGGCUUCUAGAGAUGGAGAAAGGUGUUUUGCAGAGGAGAGGUCAUGGAAAAGUCGAAGGAAUUUGUUUUGGGGAAGUCUUAUUCUCUUUCCUCGAAAUCAACAUUUUAUAGUGAAACUGCUAAUUUUGGGAGGUGCACGUCGUGCAUCCCCUUUUCUGAGAAAAAAUGUCUGUUGCAAAAAUGGCUGCACGCCAUGCACCCCUUUUGCUAUGAGGCUACUCUUAUGAUUUAGGGUUGCACGGCGUGCAGUGAUGCACGACGUGCAGCUCUACUGCUUCACCAUUCCUUGUCUUCCGUCCGAGCUCCAAUCGUUCUCUAUUCCGUAUCCAAAGACUCGUAACCAGACCCUUUAUCUCUAGAGUACCCGUGGAUAACAAAUACUACAAAGAAACGCAUCAAAUGGACCACAACGGUCCAAGUGAACGAGUCUAGGCACAUAAUGCCAAAACACGAAACCACACAGGAAUGAAGCAUGAACAAGCUAGUCUUCACUAAAAAAUAUGCAUAUAAGGAUAGAUAAUCACUACAAAUCCUAACACUAUCAACGGUCCAGUUGAACUAUUAAUUAUGCAUAACUUCUGAAAAACCAUACAUAUUUAACAUUUAGUCCAUUUGAUUUUAAAUGAAGCAAAGAAUUGAUAAAUUUUAGUAGGAUGCAAAUUUGGGGUUGGGACAUAAAUAGUAUCAUACAUAAUCUAGUGUUGAAUCUUAGGGUCAUCAGUCAUUAAGGGCGACAAUCCAAUCAUACGAUAGGAGAUUGCGAAACUGAAACACGAGACUAACGUGCUGAUGCAACGACUCCUCCGUUGCCUGAAGACAUCAAAAUGACAUAAAAUGUUUAUUAUUAAUAUCAAUGCUAAUGACUACACAUAAAGUAAAUCAAAGGAGAUUAACUUUGUAUGACUUUUUUGUAGCGCAGCCAUAGACCGUACUAACAAUUCCACUCAGUGGUGUACCUUAUCGGCUCAUCAUAAUUAUUUAAAAAUAUUCUUUCAGAAAAUUAGUAGCUGAUGUGAUUACCUACAUUAAUGAUGUAACAAUAUUAUUUGGAAACAAAGUACAAUUAUUGUUCAAAAUGUCUGUCGCCAGUCCCCACCACACCAAUGUGAAAGUUGGACAAUUACACCCCAAGUAUUUUAAUUAGAAGAUGGUUACUGAUCAUGCAUAAUUAUUUUGGUGACCAUGAUGAUGGUGACGGAUUCAACCUCUUAUGUCACACUACCAUAAUAACUUAAAUGUGUUCAAACGUAAUUAAGAAAAACCAAUUUUGACAUCAUCAUCACAAUAUAUCAUUCUUUCAAAUUCGUUGUUUUCUUCGACUUAUUUUUUAAUAUUUAUAUUAUCAUUGGUACGUCCGCCAACGCGAAGAUCAAGAUAAAGGUCAACGUUAUUUGAUUAGACUAUGUAAGUAUGAUUCUCUAACUCUAGUGGGCUCUUGUUAGAGAUGGAUUGCCUAGUAGCCAACCGCAGCUAGGUUUUUUCUUAUCAUAAUACGUGGUAAAAUUCCGAUGGACCACCUCAAACUGAUGGUUAUACUUAGGAUAGUCUUGAUUAAAUAUACUGUUGAGAUGAGGCCACUAUGCUCAAAUACUCAACUGUAAAUAUCGUUCUGUUCAUUUUGGGCAUUUUGAGGAAUAAUUCUUUAAAUACAUAACUUUUGUUAGUCGUUCCGCUUCUUCAACUUCGAGUGCUCCAAGGAGGUGUACCAUUGCAACGCACUUCUUCACAUCCAUCGCGCAAUGCAUGCAGUUAUUGAUAGACAGAGGAAUCACCUAGCACCGAACUCUAAAGAUGCGCGUGGCUCAUCAGGAUACCUUUUUAUUUUUCUUUCUUAAUUCUAGGUUAUUUUUUAACUCGUUACUUUUCUUAUGAGGAACAAUUAAAAAAUUGAACAAGACGACAAUUUCUAGAUAAUUGAACUCAAAGUCGUUUAUAGACCUAAAACCUCUGAUUAUCCACUAUAGAUAAACCCGUUCACAAUAACAAACAGUGGGCAAGCAAACCUCAGCAGGAAUGGGUAUUGGAUAUUGUCUCAAACAUAUUUCAUUCAUAAGAUACUACUAACCUUGAUUAACCAUCGUGCCAUUGCAUGAUUUUUGCAUUAACAAAUGAGGUUAACGUUGAUAGUACUUUUGAUGAUCAAAGCUCUAAAUCACGUUGAAUAAUUGUACCACUCCCCAAAAGUGACGAAACCACCGACACUAAAAGCCAUUUUGCUAUAUCCUUGUAGAUUAUACUCCAUCGGUUAGCUAAUUUACUCUUGAUCAUUUUCAUUCAGGAAAACAAAUAAAUAUUAAGCAUAUGCAGAUAGCGACAAAAGGGACACCCAAUUUUCAAAAUGCACCAACUUAACAGUGACGGAUACAGAAAACCAAAGAUUAGAAAAGGACAAAACUAUCCUUCCCUACCAACUCCGAGUCCGAUUAUGGAGCUGCACCAUUGCUUCCUGGAUACAAUCCUGGAGCAAUUUGGACCCUCAGAUUUUGAUAUAAUUUAAAAAUCAAGAUUAACAAAGAGCAAUAUAAUUAGAUUGUUUUAAAUAUGUUUGUUAGACUAGAACUUAGUUAUUUUUGAUUGUCGGACUACCGUUUUCGAUUAUUGAAAAAUUUCUCGAUCAAUUUCCCGACGAUUGCGACCUCCAUUCACGAAAAUUUCCUAGAAAAAUUUACUGCCGAUUGCGACCAAUUUACCGUCGUUUGUGACCAAUUUACCGUCUUCGUCUCUACUUUUGUAGAAAAAAAAUUAUUUUUCGGGAAAUAUUUUCCGCCGGCCGGUUGUAUAACUNNNNNNNNNNNNNNNNNNNNNNNNNNNNNNNNNNNNNNNNNNNNNNNNNNNNNNNNNNNNNNNNNNNNNNNNNNNNNNNNNNNNNNNNNNNNNNNNNNNNNNNNNNNNNNNNNNNNNNNNNNNNNNNNNNNNNNNNNNNNNNNNNNNNNNNNNNNNNNNNNNNNNNNNNNNNNNNNNNNNNNNNNNNNNNNNNNNNNNNNNNNNNNNNNNNNNNNNNNNNNNNNNNNNNNNNNNNNNNNNNNNNNNNNNNNNNNNNNNNNNNNNNNNNNNNNNNNNNNNNNNNNNNNNNNNNNNNNNNNNNNNNNNNNNNNNNNNNNNNNNNNNNNNNNNNNNNNNNNNNNNNNNNNNNNNNNNNNNCAAUUUUGACAGUUUGCUAAUGUAAACCUUUUUUUUUUUGUCUGUGUUAAUUACAUGUUACCACCUAAAUAUAAAUAAUGAGAUGAUGUGGAAGAUGGUUAUUGUUAAUAGUCAGAACGAUUGUUUUUGUUUAUAUAUUUUAACAUAUUAUUAGCUUUUUUAAAAUGCAUUUGUUGCUAAUCGUAANNNNNNNNNNNNNNNNNNNNNNNNNNNNNNNNNNNNNNNNNNNNNNNNNNNNNNNNNNNNNNNNNNNNNNNNNNNNNNNNNNNNNNNNNNNNNNNNNNNNNNNNUUUCGACCUUAGUUCCGACAUUACUAGUACUAAUUUUGAACCUCGGAUUAACUCGAAAAAUUCCGAUAUCCAAUUGAGAUGAUGCACCUUACUAGAUCAUAUGAAGAUCCUUGCUCCCAUGCGCCAAAAGCAUUAUGUAUAUACAUUAAGGUGACAUGAAAUCUAUCCAUUAAUAAUAUAAUCCGAAAGAAAAUUAAACAUUUGUUUAAUUAACAAAGUAGGGGGUUUAGGUGUCGGUAGGUAAUCAUUUCAAUAGAUUGUUCAUCAUUGGCUCUUAGGAAAGCCAAAUGUUUUUUCAAAUGCUAACUAUAAUAAAUAUAGUAACCCUAAAUAUAGUGUUUGCAAAACAAUCAUAACUACAUCAACCAAGACGGAAAUUUUUCAGAAACUCAUAUAAAGUGUAUAAUGAUAAAAGUAGGAUUAAUGGAAAUAAAACGAACAUUAAUAGAUAAAUAUGCGUAAUUUUGACCAUUUAGUUUUGAUAUAAUAAUUGAUCAUAGAAACUGACAACCUCAGAAAAAACCUAGUGUGUAAACUCACCAUCCCCAACAAAAGUCGAAUUACACCACACGAAUCCAGUUGCUCCCUCUCUCCAAGCAGCAAGUAGUCAUCUUGCCACAUAAGCUCUCCACUCCAACCGAGUGAUCGAGUAAAUCUCCAAGUUUAUGAAAUACGCUCUCAAGUAGCGACAAUUAACAUCACGAAACAAGCCACAUAUAGAUGCUAGUCUGGGAUGGGAAAUAAUAGACAUAUCCGAAUGGAGAGCAACACACAUAAAUGACCGUGAUAACGAUAAAAAAAUAUAUAUCACCGUUUUGGUGGGUGAAUCAGUAUGAACCGAAUGAUCAUUUAACAUAGCAUCCUCUAUCAACUUGGCCCAUAAAUAGAUAUGCUUUGACAAAUCCUCGAAAGUGAUGUAAAUAUCAAUAAAGAUAAAUUCAUUUUGUCUUCCAGAGAGAGAGAUCAGCUAGGCAAGCCCCAAAAAAAAUUAAGAGUUCAACGUCUUCAAGUGGACACAAAGAGAUCAACCGGCGAUGAGCCUCCAACAAUUUUUUGCCGAAAAUUUAUAAUUAAUUAUAAUCAAUCCGAAUCGAUAGCACUGAACACAACCAUCAACAGACACCUUCAACGCGAUGACGCUAUUUUUUUAGAUAACUGAAAAUACUAUAUAUUCUCCCUCGCUAAACCUCGGUGAGAGUUAAAUACUUUAAAAAAGACCAGACCCAAUAAGUUUGUAACACAGAUCCAAACUUUGAUUCCAUGUUUAACAACUUGUUUUUGUUUUAUUAGUGAUAUUGAUGGAAACACAAUAUUAAUUUAAUGUCUAGUGGGUUUCAGUUACGAUCAGUACAAACUCCUCCUUAGAGUCAACAAGUUACACUGUUAGUGAGCCUUUUAAUCAAACCCACACCCAAAAUCCAUCUUGGUUCAUUGUAAUUCAAACCUCCCACCCCCACAAUGCCUAACCAAAUUGAUCUUUUGGAGUUGAGGAUCGGACCUACCCAUGACCCACAACCUUAUCCACUACUCACUUCACUUUCGGUUCAACCCCUUGUAAUCAAAGGCGGCCACUCAUAAGUCAUAAUAUACAUUUGUCCCACCCCCACCAACAAUAUUCUGCUCUUUCAUUGUCAAGUAUUUUGAAGGCGUAUAUUUUUGUUUUCUAAUUGUUUAUUCUAAUUCAAGAUAUGUAGCUACAUCAAGUCAAAUCGUAACUUUCUUCCUUUUUGUAUUUUAUUUCGUGCAAUUCAAUUUCAAAAAUUUAUAAGCUCACUAAUAUUGGUUUUAAAAAGCGCUUUUCAUCGAUUCAAUUUUCACAAAUGUAUCGAUGAUUAAUACUAUCUAUCAACGUUAUUUUAACAAAUAAUUUUUUUAUUAAGAACAUAUUAGUCCAUUUAUAUGAAAAUAAUGAAUGUACAAAUUUCAAUACAGAUUGCAUAGCCGCGCCCUAAAAGUUUUGUGAUUUAAUAUAAACUCAAUGAUAUUAAACUAAUGCUAAUAUAAUAAAUAUGUAGAUCCGUUAGUUUGGUUUUGGGUUGAUUUAGACCGAUCAUCGUUGGUUAUUUUCAAUGUGUACGAUAAUAAGUUGUUCUUUGUUGAAACUUGACCACUAAACAUAAAAAUUCGUAUCGAGUUACAAGCACUUUACCAAACAAAGAAUAAACACAUCGAGGAAUGUUNNNNNNNNNNNNNNNNNNNNNNNNNNNNNNNNNNNNNNNNNNNNNNNNNNNNNNNNNNNNNNNNNNNNNNNNNNNNNNNNNNNNNNNNNNNNNNNNNNNNNNNNNNNNNNNNNNNNNNNNNNNNNNNNNNNNNNNNNUAUAUAUGACAACUAUAGAAAAAAUGUUUCGACAAAUUUAAUUCUAAAUAUCAAAUUCGGUCCACAAUUGUUGGUCCACAUAAAUGGAAUUUAAGUCGGACCAAAUGAUCACCCCAUUUGCAUCACUAAUUUGAACAGCUGAGUUCUUGAACUUAGUUCCACAUAUCGGAGUCAAAAUUGUCUGAUAGAUAAUUGAUUGAAAAUGCUUCAUAAUGGAAAUUCAUAUUCUACUUCAGGGACGUGAUUCAUCAUAAAAAUUCUAUUCCGGUUAUUGGUAUUUUUUAUCAAUUCAAUAUAUAGAAACUCAUGUAUAUACCAGGAAACAAUUCAAGUUUUUCGUUACGAAAUGUUCACUUCACCGCUAAUUAACCGUCAACAAAGAAAUAGUGAAACUUUCAAUACUAAGUUCUAAUCAACUCCAAUACCACUCGACUAUAUCUAUGUACUUAUUACAAAUUUUAUCUGAACUUAAUAUGUAAACAAAUUAUUAAUAGAAAGAAUAGAAAUAAUUAUCAAAAGAAAUUUCAGAUGAGGCAGCUUAUUCACAUGUUCAUGCACUAACUCGAUCACAGGUUAAAAGAACCAAACAUUUUGAUAGUAAUAUUAUAAUGAAACUGGUUGACUGAACAGAAAGAUGAAAUCCUCUCAUCCUUCUCCUCUUUUUGAAAGCCCCGGGUUUUUCAUUAUUCUCUCCUCGCCGGAGCAUAAUUUUUCUUCCGGGGACCUACCGUGUUCCAACUUUGGAAUUGUGGAAGAUCAUACAUCAAAGGAUUUUGUUUUCUCCCAAUCCCCCUGCAUUCAAGACACUAAGAGAAGGAGUUCAUCAAACCAAGUGAAAGGAGAAGGACUAAUAUCCAGAGUAAUAACUUCCACAUUUAUGAUCUCAUUCUUUUACAAGUUACUUUAGAGUCUCCAUAAGUACCCCUUCAUUCAAUACUUCAUCUCAUCUACUAAGUGUAGGAUUCAUAAACCCAGAAAGAAAAGGAGGAUUUUAAAAUUCUCUGCCACCCUCGAGCCUCAAAAACGUCAAGAUAUUAAACUCCCAAACCAUUUCCUCUACCAACGACCUCAGGCCCUGCCUCUGCAAUUGAUGAGAUAUUCCCACCUUAUAUAAAUAAGAGGAAGACCAUAAAACACCAACAUAGACAAAGUAAACCCACCAUCAAAAUAAAGCUCUCUUUGCCAAAAAAUUCAUACCUCAAGAAAGUGGAGAUGAACUACCUGCUUUCCCAAGCCGAAAACUGGAGCAUUGGUAAGGAAAACCCCCCAAAUCAAGCUCAAGCCUUCUGGUUCAUCCUCAUAUGGCCCUUUUUUCAUGAUCGGCAAAUGCAUCGGAAGCCAAGUGAUGAAAUACCCAGCGGUUGUAGGAAGUUCCAGGCGAUUCUGGGACGGUCAUGGGCAUUUUGAUGUAAAGUCAGUAAAAGCCUCCGAGCGCCAUUUUUUUCCACUUUCCGGAAUGAGAAACUGAGAACGCAUGCCUGGGAAAAUCAGCCGUAUAUCAUCUCCAACUCCUUGCUGUGUUUGAAGAAAUGGGAUGGAAGGGGUAACCCUGAGAAGAGAAGCUUUAGGGAAAGCCCCCUCUGGAUCAACCUUAUCCUUCAGGGAAAAUUGGUGAUCUCCUGACUCGUUGUGAAGCUCCCAGCAAUGGUGGUGACGGUGCUCAGUCGGGGUUCUUCCGACCAUCUCUCAAAGCCGGUUGCGACUAUAUCAGAUUGAUCGGAGAGUCGAUCAAUUCGUAGAGAAGAAGAAAUGCAGAGGAAGAAAUGCAGAGAAGAAGAUAAGAUUGAGUCUGAAAGUCUGAGUUGAUUCAUUCUGUUGGUUGGGUUUUUAUACCAAACCCAACGGUAACUUCAACAGUAAAAACGAAAUUAUAAACGCGGGUAAAACACGUGUCCACGUUUGAUACAUCAAUAGUUAAAACGCAAACGGAGGAUAAAACUCGUCGUUUCAUUUAAGCGCUUCUCUUCCUUCUCUUGACGUUGACCAACGGUCUUCCUUAACUCCGUUUGUUCUUCGCUGCGUUUAACACCCUCCCACAAGUUGGAGAGUAGAUGUCAUAUACUCCCAACUUGCUCAGCAGCAACUGAAGACGCGUCCUAUGCAAAGCCUUAGUGAAAACAUCUGCAGGCUGAUCAUUUGUUCCAAUGUGCUUCAAGACAAUCAUUCCUGACUUGAUCCUCUCUCUGGUUACAUGACAGUCGAUCUCAAUAUGCUUCGUCCUCUCAUGAAACACUGGAUUUUCUGCAAUGUAGAUAGCUGACUUAUUGUCACAAUGAACCUCCAUAGGCAUAGGAAUCUGGACUCCUAGCUCCUUGUAUAACUCUGACAACCAUUGCAUUUCGCACACCAAGUGUGCUAUGGAUCUAUACUCAGCUUCAGAAGAUGAUCUAGAAACAGUUCCCUGUUUCUUAGACCUCCAAGUUAUCAAUGAAUCACCAAGAUAUGUACAAUAACCAGAAAUAGAUUUCCUAGUAUCUGGGCAAGCUGAAUCACAGUAACCAAUUAUGUAUAAAGCAUUGGAGGAUUUAUAUAUCAAUCCUUGUGCUGGUGAUGAUUUCAAAUAUCUCAAUACACGAUGUGCUGCUUCCAAAUGCACACUGCAAGGGUCAUUCUGGAACUGACUCAGUUGCUGAACAACAAAGGUUAUGUCUGGUCUUGUAAUUGUCAAAUAAUGUAGUCUUCCCACCAAAUUUCUAUACACAGAAGGAUCAUCCAAGGGAUCACCCUGCUUUGCAAUCAGUCUUAGAUUCACUUCCAUAGGGCUUUUACUCCCUUUAGCCUCCAAAAAUCCUGUAUCUGUAAGCAACUCAACACAAUACUUCCUCUGGUUCAUCACAAUACCAGCCUUUGAACGAGCAAUUUCAAGGCCUAGAAAAUAUCUAAGCUCUCCCAAAUCCUUUAUUUUAAAUUGUCGAUGUAAGUAAUCCUUCACCUCCUUGAUUUAUGAUAAGUCCUUUCCAGCAAGUAUUAUAUCAUCAACAUAAACCAAAAGCAUAACUAGUGAAUGUCCAUUCCCUUUGACAAACAGUGAGUAGUCGGAACAGGUCUGUUUAAAUCCACACUUCAAUAGAGCACUGGUCAGCUUAGCAACCACUGUCUGCUAGCUUGUUUUAAUCCAUAGAGAGACUUUUUGAGUUUCAAACAUGUACCUGGUGGUGCAUCAAAGCCUGCUGGUAUCCUCAGAUACACUUCCUCAUUCAGAUCUCCAUGUAAGAAUGCGUUGGAUACAUCCAUUUGCUCCAGGUGUAAACCUUGAGCUGCUGCAAUUGCCAAUAAAGCUUUCACUGUAUUUAUCUUGGCUACUGGUGAAAAGGUGUCCACAAAAUCAACACCCUGUAUUUGAUCAAAUCCUUGUGCUACUAAUCUUGCUUUGUGCCUUUCUACACUUCCAUCUGAUUUCAACUUCAAUUUGAACACCCACUUUGUUCCCAACUUAUGAAAUUUUUCUGAAUCUGGAAUAACAUCCCAGGUAUGGUUCUCAUUCAGACCUCCAAGUUCACUCUGAACAGCAACAUUCCAGUAUGGAUCUUUCAUUGCUUCUUUGUAACUCUUAGGUUCCUGUUGGACCAUCACAUUCAAAGCAAAACUUCGAAAUGUUUCAGAAAGACCAUCAUAUGAAAUCACAGAGGCAAGAGAGUGUUUAGUAACACUGGCAUUUAAGUGAUAGUCUUGUAAAUGCAAAGGUGGACGACGUGCUCUCGUAGAGGUCCUGACAUCCAGCAGAACGGGCUGCUGUCCCUCCCCUGCUGGAUGAAUCUCAGGAUCCGGAAGUACCUCCUCUUCCUCACUAUCAGAUAGAGAACCCUGUAGCUGGCAUGCAUGAUUAGUGACAUGUGAAUUUGUAGCUGGAGCUACUGACACUGAAGAGUGGGAUGGACUAGGAUCAUUUGUAAUGACAGGUGACUUCUGAGGUAAAGUAACAGGCACAUCAAUAUGCACAGUAGGAGAAAUGAGAAUUCUGAUUCAAUAGGAGUAGCAAAAGACAGUUCAUGAGACUGAAAGGGAAAAAUGUUUUCAUAGAAAACAACAUCCCUGGAAAUGUAGAUGUUAGACGUAGAAAGAUCCAGUAAUUUGUAUCCCUUGAUGUGGGAAGGAAUUCCUAAGAGCACACUUUGUCUAGCUUGAGGUUGAAAUUUUCCUCGAUUAUGAGAUAGAGUCGCAGCAUAGGCUAAACAGCCAAAUACUUUGAUAUGAGUAAGAAUAGGAGGUUGAUUAUAGAGAAUUUCAAAGGGAGUCUUGUUGUGAAUAGCAGAGGAAGGGGUUCUGUUUAUCAAGUACAUGGAAUGAAGUACAAAAUCACUCCAAUAUAUCAGAGGUAGACCAGACUGAAACUGUAAAGCUCUUGCUACAUUCAAAAUAUGUUGGUGUUUUCGUUCUACUUUAGCAUUUUGCUGAGGUUUUUGCACACAUGACAUUUGAUGUAUUAUGCCAUGCUCAUAAUAGAAAUCAGACAAAUGGAAUUCUUUGCCCUGAUCACUCCUUAUCAUUUUGACUUUGGUUUUGAACUGAGUACAUACCAUGUUAUAGAAAGAUUGCAGCAAGGCUCGGGUUUCUGAUUUGUAUUUCAUUAGAUAAAUCCAUAAUCCCCGUGAAUAAUCGUCAACGACAGUGAGAAAAUACAGAAAACCAUCAUGUUUAGAGAGAUGGCAGAUAGAACAGUGAGACAGAGUUUCAGGAACAAUGUUAUGAUCAUGACUAUGUAAAAGCUUCAAUUUCUCAGCACUUGGAUGUCCCAUUCGCCAAUGCCAGAGACUGAUCUCUUCUGGUUUAUAAUUGUGGCUAACAGCUACUUGAGGUCUGGAAGGAGGGGUUUGAAGAGAAGAUGAUGAAAUGUGUUUGUCAGUAGGCUGUAGGUGAUACAACCCUCUAGUUUGAGUGGCUAAACCAAUCGUCUUACAUGUUGUGAGAUCUUGAAGCUGGCAAUUGUUGGAUUGAAAAAUUAGUGAAACAGGAAGAUGAGAGGUUAGCUUACUAACUGAGACUAGAUUGAAGUGAAAUGUUGGCACACACAUAAUAUUAUGAAUGACUUGACCAUGAGGCAGUUUGACACUACCAACAUGACUGACAGACAUACGAGAGGAGUCAGGAAGAUAUACAUUGACUCCUAUGACAGACUUAUAGGAAAUGAAGUGUUUGAGAGAGCACGUUAUGUGGUCAGAAGCUCCAGUAUCCAAUAUCCACAAGUCAGCUAAAUCAGGACAUGAACUAGCAGAUAGUGUAAACAUACCUGAAUCAUUUUGAAGAAUUGGAAUCCCUGAUCCUGAAUUAGUGGCUUUGGAUUGCUGGACUGCUUGCAGUAGUUGCUUGAGCUGAGUCAACUCAGCAUUGUUAAUGAGAGAGCAGCUGCUACUGUAGGAACUUGCUGCUGAUCUACUGCUCCAGCAAAAUGAUUUGAGGAUGCUGAGUUGCUGUUUGUAUUCUGAGCAUUUUGAUCUUGCUGUUUCUUCCAUUUUAGUCUCCUGCAUUCAUCCAAAAUGUCUCCUUCUUUCUUACAGUAUCUACAAAACUUCUUGCCAGCUUGAUUAUAGUCUCUGGAAUUUCCAGAACUAGCAGCCAUAACCAUCCUUCCAUCAACGUCAGAUGGUACUGCAAAUGCCACAUUCUGAACAUUAUUAUCUUUCCCGAUCAUUAUACCACAUUUCAAUUUCUCUUCAUGCUCGAGUGCAUGAUCAUAAGCUGAGCUGACAAUAGGCAAAGGAGUCAUCAUAAGCAAUUGAGUCCUGACUACAUCAAAAUCUUCAUUCAAUCCUCUAAGAAAUCAGAUUAGAUAAUCCGUAUCUUGUUUCUCCUGGAAAGCUACCACUGCUGCACAAGGUAAUACACUAGCUAGUGCACAACUGCAAGGAACAAUGUAUCGUGUAUUCUUCCCAGAUUCCUUUAAUCACUGUAUAGUAUUGUGUAACUGACAUCUAACACUGUUUACAUCCAUGUAUCUCAUCCUGUAGAUUAGCCAUUUUUAGAGCAUUUUCUUGUCCAAACCUUCGUUUAAGCUCUUGCCAUAGGAUUUGAGCAUUUUCAUGAUUCAAUACACUUCUACGGAUUUCUGGAUGCAAAGAGUUUUCAAUCCAAGACAGUACCAUAGUGUUGCAAGCAUCCCAAAGAGAGUAUCGAUCACUAGUACAGGCAGGAGGAACGAUAGAUCCAUCGAUGAAACCUACUUUAUGCUUAGUUUUCAGCGCAAACCUUACGGAUCUACUCCACAUUUGAUAGUUCGAUCCAUCUAGGACAGUAUUGACUAUAGAUUGAGACAGAUUUUCAUUAGGAUUGAGGUAAUAAGGAUUACCAAAAUUCAGGUUAACAGAGGCCAUGGGUGAGGUAUCUCUACUGCGAUGAACAUUUCCAACAGAUCCAAAAACGAAUCCUGAAGUGUGCUGAUGGUUGGUUUGUUCAUCAUUAUCUUCAUCAUCAUCCUGACUUCGAGUCAUCGUUAAGCUUUAGAUUGAUUUAAACCCGCUCUGAUACCAUAUCAGAUUGAUCGGAGUGUCGAUCAAAAUGCAGAGAAGAAGAUAAGAUUGAAUCUGAAAGUCUGAGUUGAUUCAUUUUGUUGGUUGGGUUUUUAUACCAAACCCAACGGUAACUUCAACAGUAAAAACGAAAUUAUAAACGCGGGUAAAAACACGUGUCCACGUUUGAUACAUCAAUAGUUAAAACGCAAACGGAGGAUAAAACUCGUCGUUUCAUUUAAGCGCUUCUCUUCCUUCUCUUGACGUUGACCAACGGUCUUCCUUAACUCCGUUUGUUCUUUGCUGCGUUUAACAAACUAUUCCGACUCUGGGUCUUCCGAAUUCGAUGCAGAGAACGAGUUUAUCUUCAGCUCGUGCAAUAGUUCCUAGACCCCGUCUCGCCCGGAGAACCUUCAGUCCGUCUUUCUCUCUCCAACUCUGCUAACCGGGGCCAGCCAACGGUAACUUCCACCCUUUGCCGCUGAAUCCCAUCCCAAACCCUCUCCAUCUCUCACAUACCCAUGGAAAUCCAGCUAGCACUCUUGAUAUUCGUGCCCUAUACCAGAUGCUCUUCCCCUCUCCCUCUAAGCCCAAAUUUGUUUCCCAACUCCGUCAGUGAGCCCAACUAUGCAACCCACCGGAAAGAUUCCAACCCCCAUCCUUUUCUCAGCCCACCAGGAAAUAACAACAAUCAGUAUUUCCAACUUCAGGCCGAUUCUCCUAAGAAAAGAAAGGCCAACAGUGGGCAGGGUAUCAAAUUUUCUCGGAUGAACCUCCAUAGGCCAAACCAAAUGUCUGCUGGUUGUCUAGGAGCCUCCCGCCAACUCUUCUCUACUAGUGGGAAGAAAAAGCUCCCUAAGAAGUUUUCCUAUAAAAACAAAGACAAAGGAGUAGGGUCGAGCAAAGCUAUGGAGUGCGAGGUGUUCCUAGUCAUCGAACCAAGUAUUGUUGUGGUGGCCGUUGAAGAGCCACCUCGCUAACCAUGAUUACGCUGAGUUGGAACUGUCGAGGUCUCGGGCGUGACCUCACAGUUUGCGCACUUGGGCAACCUCGUUCGUUCCAAACGUCCCUCCAUUAUUUUCUUAAUGGAGACCAAGCAGGAUUCGGGUUUCCUCGAAAGUAAGAGAACUAUCUGUAAUUUCGCUCAUGGAUUUUACGUCGAUCCCAUUAAUCGUUCGGAAGGGCUUCCCUUGUGGUGGAGGAACGAUGUUUCCAUUCGGAUUCUUAACUCGUGUAGUAAUUUAUUCAUAUAAGUGUUAAUCAUGUAGUAGACUUUCAAUGCACUUUUGUGCACGCCACUUGUAUGAUAGUGGAUAUGGCCCCCUUUUGGAAUGUUCUAGGUAACAUUCGUAACCAUUGCAAUGAGCCUUGGCUCUUGAUCGGAGAUUUCAAUGCAUUAUGCUUUGUCUACAAGAAGGAGGGCGGGAACGGCGUUGCUUCUUCAUCGACAACCCCUUUCCAAAAUUUUCGUUUCUCAAACGGCCUUUUUUAUCUCAGCUUUCAAGGGGAACCCUUUACUUGGAAUAAUGGUAGGCCGGGUACCGAUUUCAUCCAAGAAAGGCUCGACCGUGCCCUUUCUAACAUUGAAUAGCGUACCCUUUUUGAAAAGUCUCUUGUUUUCCAUGACCAUGCCAUUGACAAAGACCAUUGCCAUAUCUAUGUGGAUUUCUAUGGCUCCUGUCGUAGAUGAGGUAGCCCUUUCAAAUUCGAUGCGUGGUGGCUGGGUCACGGGCACUGUGAUGACAUAGUUGCUCGAAACACGAGACCAGGUGAGGACUGUAGUAGCUUCCAUAAUGCCUGUAAGGUUGAUCUUGACAGAUGGGCCAAAAAGCUAAACAGAGAAAGGAAUAACAGAGAAAUCAAAUAAAGAACAGACUUAUUGAUAUACAGAAUAAGUACCGUUACGAAGCCAUUAUGGAUGAGGAAAUGAACCUCAAAAAGGAGAUUGAAGACGUAUGGAGAAGCAAGGAAAUUGAAUGGAGCCUGCAUGCAAAAAUCAACUGGCUGAAGAUGGGGGACAGAAAUACGGCUUUCUUCCACUCUUUUGCGGUGUACCGUCGUCAUUGGUCAUCUCAAAGACAGUAACGACAACUGGAUCUCCUCGGACUACCAACUCCUGGCGAUGGCUAACUCCUUUUACAUGGAUCUCUUUUCGAUAAGAACAGGGAAGCCGGACCUUGGGGCUAUAGAAGCCAUGCCAAGAAUGGGUACUAACGAGAUGAAUUCCGACCUUUUUCGGCACGUUGCAUAUGAGGAGAUACGCUUGGAAGUGUUAAAUCUUGGGCCUAAACAAUCUCCUACCCUUGAUUGGUUCUCGGGCCAUUUUUACCGCAGUUUCUAGCCUUUAAUAUGUCAACGUUUCUACCAAGAAGUCAAGGAUUUCUUCACUACUAGGAUCAUGGCUCCCUAUAGGAAUGAUAAUCACAUAGUCCUCAUCCCUAAGAUCCCUAACUCUACGUCUAUGAGUGAAUUUAGACCCAUCAACUACUAUAACUUCCGCUACAAGGUCAUUGCCAAGAUUAUCGCUUCCCGCCUCAAAAUCUGGAUCGGCUCUCUUAUAGCUGAGAAUCAGGCGGCUUUUGCCACUGGAAGAUCAAUCCAAGAUAAUAUCAUUGUAGUUCAUGAAGCUCUCCACUCUUUUCCAACGAGGAAUCACAAUAGGAAGAGGGAUAUGUGCCUGGAAUUAAACAUGUACAAGGCCCAUGACAUGGUGGAUUGGAAUUGGCUGGAUAACCUUCUUCGGGUCUAUGGUUUCUCAUAUAAGUGGAGGGGCUAGAUUAAGGCGUGCACCCAAAUAGUUAGAUUCUCAAUGCUCUUUAACAGCCAUCCUUCGACUUUUUUCUCUCUGAAGCGGGACAUUCGCCAGGAAGACCCCUUAUCCCCUUUCCUCUUCAUUCUUAUGACCAAUGCACUCUACUUUAUAAUUGAGAAGAGUGUCUGUAAUAGGGAUAUCCAUGGCAUUUUCCUUAACCGGCGCGGCCCUACUCUCACCCAUUACCUUUUUGCAGACGACACAAUUGUUUUUGGGAAAGCCUCAAUCGAGGAAGCUGAGGCGAUUAUGAACACUAUCAAUGUUUAUGGGGUUGUUACCAGUCAAGAGGUAAACCCUGCAAAAUCCUCAGUAUUUUAGUAAGAAUGUGGCCGCUCAUCUCCAAACCAAUAUUCGCGCGGCUCUAGGAUGCUCAAUGGGCCAUUCUUGCUAUUUGGGGGUCUCGACGGAAUGGGGGAACUCACGCAUGGAAACAUUUUCAUACCUCUAGAUAGAUAAGACUCUCAGCCACAAUCUUGGAAAAGUAACCUUCUCUCCCAUGCCGGAAAGAGACUCUUCUGAAGGCUGUGGUGCAAGCUAUCCUGGCCUACAUUAUGGGUUUAUUCUUGCUCCCUAAAACCAUGACGAGGAAGAUGGAUUGUAAGCUCUGAAAUUUCUUCUGGUCAGGUUCUACUCAGAAGCGCUCCAUCCAUUGGUGCCAUGCUGAUAUCUUAUGCGCCUAAAAGAAGAGGGUGGUCUCGGGUUUAGAUAUUUUCACACGUUCAAUCUGGCCUUGCUAUCAAAACUUGGCUGGCGCCUUAUGAACAACCCAGACGCUCUUUGGGCUUGACUUCUCAAAAGCCGUUACUUCCACAACACCAGCUUUCUCGAGAGGAAGAAAGGGUCCAGGCCAUCCUGAAUUUGGGCUAGUAUUUGUGAUUCCAUGGAUGUUCUUGAUCUUGGUAUCGUCAGAGUCAUUAGUAAGGGAAACACAACUUCCAUCACCAAAGACCCCUGGCUGCCAAGCCUUCCGAAUCACCGCCUCAUAGUGGAUACGAGUCCUUUUGAUUUUGUAGAUGAGUAGAUCAUUGACAACCCCCGACAGUGGGAUUCUUAUACUAUUGGUUUAUACUGUUACCAAGAACAAUGCGCUGCAAUCACUCGGAUCCCCGUUGGGCCUCUUAACCUCGACGAUGCUUGGAAAUGGAAAAUCACAAAUGAUGGGGUGUUCUCGGUUCGCUCUGCCUACCAUGCGGCUCACUCGGAGUUUAAAUGUUGGCGGCCCAUUUCGUUGUCCCUUAGACGGGUGGGGGAAAAGAACUGGAAGUGGCUGUGGAGUCUUUCCUUGCCACCAAAAAUUCUAUUCUUCCUUUGGAGAUGCAGCCGCAAGGUCCUUGCAACUAACUAUAGCCUGUUCAAGAGGCAGUGUGUCCCUAAUUUUGCGUGCCCCAUAUGCACUCUCAGGAAGAAUCUAUCCUUCAUUAUCUUUUUUUUUUGCACCCACACGUCUUUUGCGUGGGUUUUGGCUGCUCUCUCUCUUGUUGGGCCGCUCCCUAACGACUCUUUCGCAUUCUGGUUUUUUGGGCUACAGGAUGGUUUUUUGAUGGCGACACAAAUUAAAGUCGCGACCCUGUUAUGGAAUAUCUGGAAAUCAAAGAAUGCCUGCGUUUUCCACCAGAAGCGCCCUUUCCCCGAAUCUCUGUAGAGCUUGCCAGUGGUGACGCUUGGGUUUGGGAAUGCUGCUUCGAGUCCCUCCCAUGCCACUUCUACUAUCCAUGUGGGUUCUCUCGCUAACCCAGUCGUGAGCCGACCGCCUCGCACCCGCUCCCCGACUUACCCCCCGCCGAGUACCUUCACCUCUAGGAUACAUUGCGAUGGAUAAUUCUUGAAUGAUUCCCAAAAAGGCGGCCUAUUGUGUCAUCAAGACUAAUACCAAUAGGCAAGUUUGCGACGGGAAGUUUGGCUCUUUCUUCUGUUCCUCGCCUAUUGUUGCUUAGUCCCGUGCACUUCUGGAAGCGGUCUCGGUCACAAUCAAAUCUCCCGAUCCAUGUAUGAUAUUCUCUGAUUGCCUCUCUUUUGUUGAGUGUCUCCAUGACACGCCGGCUAGUUGCCCUUGGCAAUGCUACGGUUACCUUGGAUGUGUGUCCUCUCUGCUUCGCUCUCAUCCGCAUAUUUUGUUCCGGUACACGGGACGAAUCUCAAACAAAGCUGCAAAUUGGAUAGCCGGUAAGGCUCCUUUGGGUUGCAUUCCUCCUGAUUGGCUGAAUAUUAUAAAAGAGAUGUUCUAGUUUUUCUGGUCUAUUUACGACUUGGCCGCUUUGGUGAUUAAUGGAAUACCACCUUUAAAAAAUAAUAAUCAACUGGUAUGUCUACUAAGCCAAAUUGCGCACGUUUUAUUUGACUGUGUAACCAAUCACAUCAUUGCACCCUCACGAGGCCUAAGAAAAAGCAAGAGUGAUUUUCCUGGAAAUUGUAGGCCGAUUUGUUUUUCCUUUUUGGUGCUUUUUUUUAAUUCUACCCCACUCGCACACUAGUUACAUAUAAUUAAUCAAAUGGCAACCACUUUGGAUCUCAACCUCACUAAUCAUCUUAAUAUUUCAGAGUUCAAAACUGUCCAAUUAUCAGUUAUACUUGUUUGAUUUCACUUAGAUAGUACCAAAUUAACGAGUCUCGAUUUCAAUUAUAUUAAUGAUUCUCGAUACAAUAUUAAUUUAGUACAACUUGUUCUUAAUAAAAUCGAUUCAAUUAGUAAUCAUUAUACACGAAAUAUCGACUUAAGUGCAUUAUAUAAUGACACAACGUUUACAAAUGUAUCUUAACACCGUCUGUUUUCCUCUAGUUGAUUGAUUAGUAAAAAAAAUUGAUAAUUCAUUUUUUGUCACAAUGAUAUUAGGUUUGGAGAAGAAAUCUUCUUUUUUAAAAGCAAAAGUCUAUUAUUUAUUAAUUAUGAAAUAUCCAAACAUAUUAUCGUUCAAACUGUUCGAAAGAAACAAUAGAGACGUCUUCCCAUAAAUAAGCAACUGCAAUAAUCUAGACUCCCUAGUCAAUCUUUCCGCACAAACUGAAUCGUAUAACUCGUUUUUUACGCUAAAAUCAGUCGACAUCGAUCUUCUAAUGAUAUCACCAAAUUAAGUUUUAGAGAAAAAAAUUAUCAUCUAUAAACAUUUAAUUCAAAAUCCAAAUGAGUAUAUCCUUGGGUUUCACUUCGAAUUAAUCAAGUAAAUAAUAUGAAAUAAUGGUGUAUUAAAAAAAACAGUGAGAAUGAUUUUGUCUUAUUAUAGAAAACAAAAGAAAAAUGAAAAAAAUAAGAUGGCAACAUGCUUUUGUCAUGGUUUUCCCUUAUAUUUAUAUGAGCCUCUUUCACCCUUGUUUUCAUUUUAAGCGUAACUUUAUUUUGGGGGCGGCUUCCAUUUCCUCCUCCUCCUCUCACUGGUACAGAGAGCAAUAAGAACAGUGAAAAAAAUCUUUCUUUCUCUUCUUUACUCUGUGCUUUUGAUAACAAAAAUGGGGAGAGCUCCAUGUUGUGAGAAGAUGGGUCUGAAGAAGGGACCUUGGACCUCUGAAGAAGACCAUAUUCUCACCAAUUACAUUCAGCUCUACGGCCACGGCAACUGGCGAGCCCUCCCCAAGCUUGCCGGUAACGGAACAUUUUCCCCUUUCGUAGCCUUGAUUUUACCGAGUGAAAAGUUGAAUGGAAUUUUAAUUUUUUUUAUUACUAUGACUUGCAGGAUUGUUGAGGUGCGGGAAAAGUUGCCGGCUGCGAUGGACCAAUUACUUGAGGCCUGACAUCAAACGAGGAAAUUUCACCCCUGACGAGGAAGACACAAUCAUCGAAUUGCACAACAUGUUAGGAAACAGGUAUGUGCUUUGCUAGCUACCUUAAGUUAUUUUCAUAUACGAAAAAAACCUUUUUAAUUGGCACCACAUUUAAUCAUGAUUCAGUGAGCAGACACCACAUUUCUGAUCUGACUAGAGCAAGUAGAUGUUUUCUUUACAUGUUUUUCUGUCUGAACUUGAUCGUCCAAUUCAGGGUCAGAGAUAUGCUCUGCUCUGCAAAUAUUUUUAUAAUUCAUUAAAAAAAAUUACUGAUUUUUCCCAGAGAUCUGUGAUUACAAUAAUGUAGGGUGGUACAGUACAGUAGAUAUGCCCACAUCUCAUGUGACGGUUUCAUAAUUUGAGGAGAGUGUGUUAUUUUCCCAAGGUUGAUGGGAAUCUCCCUAGCAGAGUAAUUAAUUGUCUGGAUACUAUUCCCAGAUCAUAUCAUUUAAUUAACCCCAACCAUCGUUCCCGUUCGUUCGUUCAAUUUUUUGUCAGUUUUGUAUAUUUAAACACUUGCAAACAAGAUGUGCACUCUCAUGUCCCGUGACACACAGAUUAUCUUUUACUAUGAUAGAUAUUUAAUUCUCACUAGUCGAGUUGUGCAAUUAACAAUGUUGUGGGUUGAUAAUUCGGAAUAUUAAGUUUAAAUUUAAUUGCAUUUUACGGGCUACUUAUACAUUGUUGAUUUCUUUCUAUAGUGUUAUGUUCCUAUCUCGAAAAAUGAGAUAUUUAAUUUACCGAUGGACUGUACGUAGCUACUAGUAAUUCCGAUACGACGUGACCCCAAAGUUAAGGAUUGGAUUCUUAAUGACUGUUUGUACUGUUGUGCGGACAGGUGGUCGACGAUUGCGGCGAAAUUACCGGGGCGGACGGACAACGAGAUUAAAAAUGUAUGGCAUACCCACUUGAAGAAGAGAGUGAUGGCGAUGAUGACGCCGACGAAGCAAAACGACGAUCAGCAGAAUAAUCCACUGCCUCCUCCGGGGACUAACAAGCGGAGAUCGUCCGCCGGCAAGAAAACCAAGAGCAUCAGCAGCAUUAUUAAAUCGGAUCAGGCGGCAGGGGAACCUGCAAAUUUAACGACGGCCAUGGUACCGGCGGAGUGCUCGAGCGACGACGCGUCAUCCCUGACGACUGCGGAGAACAACGAUGCGGUGAAGGCGGAGGACAUUUCAUCGAGGGAGGAAAAUUUGAAUAAUGAGGAAAUGGACGAGAGUUUCUGGUCGGAGGUGUUGUCGGCGGAGAAUACGAGCAGCGUGGUUGAACCGGAACUUGGGUCGGGGUUGUUUGGGUUCGAGUCGUUGGUAAGUAGUAGUAGUGUGGUAGGCGGCGAUGACCAGGAAGGGGAGGGGGCGGCGGCGGCAGCCCUGCUGGGGGAUGAUUCAAACGUGGACUAUAGUAGCAUGGAUUUUUGGUACAACUUUUUGACUGGGGAUGGGGAAUUAUCACAGCUUCCACCAAUUUGAGUCUUUUUCUUCUGGGAAUUUUGCUUUAUUAGGGAGGUUUAGAACUGGAGUUGUUUCUUCUGGGUAUUGCGGUUUGGAUCGGAAAUAGCGACUAGUGUUUGAUCUUUGGCUGUUGAUCAAUCAGAGACACAUCUUUUAACCUAUGCUUCAGAUAUUAUUGGUUAUUCUAACUAUCUUUCCUGGCCGCUUCAGCCCAGAAUCCCAAGUCAACAUUCAGGAUUAAGCACCGCUUGGAAUCACCGCUCGGGCUGAACCAGGGUUCAUUAUUCCAAGUGAAUCCUGACUAAUCCAUACUUGGUUCGUUAUGUCAAGAUUGGAAGUUUAUGAAGAACUCAUAUAUGAGUCGUAAUACAAAAACACAAUGCAAACCAUUUCUGCCACUGAAGCCCAAUCACUGCGCAAGAUCUAAGGCCCAUAUACAUGGACUUGCAGCACUGGAGGCCUUGCUAGGAAAUAAUAACUCACAUAACGAAAUUAGCUCUUCUUGAUGACUGCUACGGAAAUGUGGGUGGAUCAAGAUGGAGUAAAUUCGCGUGGGUAUCUGCCCGUGAGGUCCCGUUAUGAUUGGGCUUUGCCUGAUCAAAUCAGCCCGUCAAUGGACACCGGUUUACCCGAAAUCCAUCAAAAUCUGGGUUUGGGUUGCCUCGGAUCCAUCAUAAUCUGCCCCGACACUCGACCGGCGGAUAUUUUGUCACCGACGGGUAUUCUAUAUCCGGCCGGUGACGAGGAUGAUAUUAAACUUCUAUCCAUUUGCUGGUUGGGGAUGGGAACGGGAAAACCGUCGACCUCGACGGACGAAAAUCGGAUAUACUACAUCCAUCCCCAAUCCGACUAUGUCCAAGCCUAAAAUUAGUAUACGUACGAUCAUAAAGCAAAACAAUUUUAAUUAUCUUGAAAAAAUAAACAAGAAUGUAAGUUUUCCAAUAAUAAAUACCAAUUGUAGAUGUCGGUAAUAUAGGAGUCCGUGUCAACGAUAAAUAAAAAAGAAGUAUUUGCCUCCAACAAGAAAAAAUCAACACCGUCCAUUUAAAUGUUCAAGCUAACGGAUUAUAAGGCCUCUUUAUCUAUGAGACUUUGUCUCCUUAUUUCUUCUUGAAGUUAAUUCAAUUUCAAUAUCUUCACUCUCAUCCUCUCAACUGCUUCUUCAUUUUGCGGCUCUUCAUUUUACUUAUAUACAGCUACACCAAGACUUUUUUGGAUUUUGAUUUCUGUUUUGUUAGUGUGCUCACUUUGUUAGAAUUAUGUACUUGGUUUAAAGUUUCAUUGUCAGGCUUAUGUAUUUGAUUUUUUGUUAUUAUGGGUUAUGUAUUGAUUUUGUUUGUACUNNNNNNNNNUAAUUUUUAAUUUUAAAUUUUUUUUACUUGAUUUUGUACUCGGUUUGAAAUUAAGGUUAUAUACUUGCUUUUUGUACUCAAAUUAAGGUUAGGCUUGUCAUGUAUUUGAUUUUUUAUGGUUGUGGGUUGUGUAGUUAUUUUGACUUGAUUUUUCUAUUAAAUUAGACAUGAAGGUGGACAAUGGACUGGACCAGAACUCGUCGAAUCCCACUCCAAAUUCCCCAAUGUACAGAAGAUGCAGCUACAUCAAGAAUGAUAAUAUGUAGCAAGAGCUUAAGAAAGAGCUAAAAGAGCCAGAAUCCAGAUGAUGUUAUUGAUGUGGACAAAUGAAUCCAAGAGAUAAAAAAAGAGUAACCAAACAGAGAAGUUGAAGUAGCAAAGGCUUAAUUUUUCAGCAGUUGGGGAAUUUUAAUUUACAGCAGCAGUAGUGCUCAUUGGCUAAUUAUAAUUAACUGCCUAAGUCUUCAAUUAAGCAAUAAGCGCUACAAGCUACGAAGGGAAAUCAUCCUCUCCCGAACUUGCAUCUCAGCCUUGAAACUAGAAAUGAACUCUUCAGCCCUCUCAUCAAUCGCCCUCAUCAGUGGCGAUUCAUAUCCCAACGACUCCCACAUCUCAUCAGCUCCACCCUCCUCCUCCCCACUCGUCCCAGCUGCCAUCAACUCAUUAAUCUUCUUCCCACUUGACGACACCUCACACUGAGUCGUCGUCAGCACCUCCAUUACCGGGGGCUCUACUACGAAGAUCCUGUCGACGAAAACCGGAGCAGCAGAGCAGCUCCUGCUGUAGAAACGGAGCCGUCUGCUGCUCUUCCGUUUGAAUGGAAGACCGCGGCAAGGCAGGCUGAUUUCCAUCCGCCCCCCCCUGAUCUUCCGAUACUCCUUCGAAAGAGAAUUACAAGGAACGAAAGUUUUGUUCGCAGCAGGAUUGAUGAUGGGGUAAGUGAGGGUAGAGGUGGAGGAGAUAAUGUGUUUGGGAUUUUUGUUUUUGAGGGAUUUGGGGUUGUUGUGGAGUUUGUGGAGUUUGGUACGGAGCUUGGAAGUGAAGAUCUUCCAUGCCUUGUUUGGGCGUGGAAGCCUGAGGUUGAAGCACGACGACAUAACUAACGGAUGAUGAUGAUGAUGUUUAAGAAGGGUGAAAGGGAAGUGGUUUUAUAACAAGGGAAAGAGAUGUUUGGUUUGUGGAUAAAGCGUGUGCAAAUGUGAAGUGCACUUGGCUUUUGAGGAUUCGUAUUCAUAUUCAUAUUCAUAUUCGUAUUCACUUUUGGGGGACUUAGCAUGCUGGCUAGCUUCCUUCUUACGCUCAGAGUGUACAUUUCUUUAAGAGUAGGCAGAGGGAGGUAGAGGAUUCCUACACUGCUUUCUUCUUACGCAGUCAUGUUGACAAGUUGUCACUAAAUUUGUAGUGUAACUUGAGAAUGGGAGUCCGAUCCUGGAGCCAGAGAUAUUGUUUUUGGAUCCGAUCCAAAAGUAAUUUGGAUUUUUGGAUUUUUAUAUGGUUUAAAGCCCAAAUAUUAAUCGGGGAUAAUAUAGUCAUGUUGUUUUAAAUAUUUUUGUUGGACCAGAAUCAGGGACCAAAAUCGGUUAGCGAUGACCAUUGAAUACGUUUCUUCGGCUUGGGUUGUGUUAAAAUAACGCGGAUAUAGUUGAGCCAAAAAAUCUCAGUUCGGAUGAUCAAAGAUCAAAUCACUAUGCGUAUCUUAGCGGGCUGGUUACACCUACAACCUACAUGAAAACCGAGCAUUUCACGGUUCCAAAAUGCUGGAUCUCGAUUUUUAUCAGCUAUAGCAAGGAAAGAAAUUUCAUAUGAAAAAUGUUGUUUUGGGAUGAUGUUAUAGAUGAAUUUGGCUUGACCCCAAAUUUGAAGAAACGUAUGUUUGAGAGUCACUAUGGUAGCGCUUCGAUCUUUGGUAUUGCCGAUGAUGCUCACAGAGAAGAUGGUGACGAAGAGGAUCAGGAAGAACCUUUUUAGGCUAGUAGUAUAAAUAAUUAAUCUUGUGUAUGAGGUUUUAGGAAUGAAACAAAUAUAUCUAUGUCCACAUUGGAAUAUUAGUAACUAUACUAUCACAAGAUCGAAUGUUAGUAACUAUAUUCAAUAAUUAGCUAAAUUAUAAUAAAAUGGCAUAUUUAUAUACAUUCAGUAUUUAAAUUAUACAAACCAUCAGAGACCAUUGCUUUUACUUGAUAGAUGGAUUUUCAAAUUAUUUACUAAUUUUUAACUGAACCAAUCGGUUUUCACUUUUCAGGUGGGUAAUCGAAAAUUGAUUUUCAAUUACAACGCUUAUCUCUCUUGCUUUUUGUCAUCGUAGUUUUUGAGAGAGUUUAGUUCCAUAAUUAAUUUGGACAUAUAUAAACUAAAUUAACUUAUUUAUGAUUAAGGAAAUUAACUUAUUUCAGAAACCAUAUGAAUUAUUCUCAGACUCUGAGAGUUCAAUUUUAUAAUUAAUUAGAAUCACAACAGCUAAAUUAGAUAUAUUUCAUGCAAUUGGAAUGGUUUUUAUAAUGUAUUUGGAAAAAAAAAACAAAAGAGUGGAGUGGCUGAUUCUCUCUUUUCCCAACACUUAUAACAUUGUAUUUGGUUCCUCGACUAUGCUCCAAUGUCCUUGAAACCUCAGAACUCUUGUUGAUUCCCAUCAAAUUAGGGUAUCAUUAAAUCGGUCAAAAAAUUCAUUCAAGAAUAAAAGAUAUUAAACCUAUAACUUUGUUGUAUAAAUCGGAAACCCCACAGGUACAUCCUUCUGCACACUAACACUUGCAAACAGAGGGGAGAAAUCAAGAGAAACAGGAUAUGGCAUUGAUGGGACGACGUAGUUGCUCUAACUCUCAGAUGCUCGCUAUUUUUGUCUUCAUUUUUUCUUUGGUCCUUACUACCCACUCAGGUAAUUAUAUGUACGGAGGAGAACUAUUAUAUCGCAAUAAGUUAAGUCGUUGAAAAUUUUUUAUUAUUAGUUUUUAUAGUAUUCCUUUAUACGUACAUCCCUUCAAAUGAAAAUCUAUGAAACGAGAUUGAAGUUUACAUAGAUAUUCCAUCAAAUCUUUUACGUAAGGAAUUGUUAUAUGAAAGGCUGACAGGAUUCAAUCCCAAACCUCAACAAUAAAUUUUUUUAUAUCAUGUCGAUAAGGAUUAUAUCCCGAAUUUCUAAAAACGAAUCAUAAUUCAUUUUUAAGAUGUUCUACAGUAUACCUGUCCGAAUUGACUGUAGCAUAAUUUUCGGAACAUAUAAGGGUUGAUGAAAUUCAAAAUAAAUGUAAAAUUAUUGUGUACUUUAAUUUCUACUCUAUAGAAUAUGUAGUAAGCUUUUUCACGUACGUACGUGUAUCAAUAUUUUGUGCAGCAAUGGUGAAGAGGGCGCCGUUUGUCCCUGGAGCUUCGGAAGUGGUGUGCGACGUCGUAUACGGAGUGGAGGAUGGAGACACUUGCUUCUCUGUGGCCAAAUCGUCCAACCUAACCGACUCGGGUUUCUUUCGAAUCAACCCUAAUCUCAACUGUAACUCCCUUUUCAUCGGCCAAUGGCUCUGCAUCUCUGGCAAAGCAUCCCCAUAAGUCUCCAGCUUCUGCAAAAGGAAUUACUGAUGAAUCAAAAAACAUUUGGGGACUCUGUGAAAUAAGGCUGCUGUCAAAUCCCAAUUGGUCUUGUCUUUGUUGUUUGGGCCUUAAUUUUAAUUUUGGGCUUUUAAUAAAACCCAUCAUCUCAUACCCAACGUCUACAUUCCCGUAGUCGAAUGGGCUUCGUAUAAUGUAACAUGCGAUUGAUGAUUUAAAAGAUGGUUUUGGUUUUUAUAUUUUUUUCUGCGUUUGGAAGGAUUAUCGGUUGUUGAUUUUAUCUUUUAAUUAUUUAGUCGGAAGUUCAAUUUUUGUUGUAUGAGGUUAGAGUAUAUUUUACAUUUAGUUAUUUAUUGUUUUAUCUAAACGUCCGUGUAGAAGAAAUUAAUUAUUAUUAUCGAUAAUAAACAUCAUAAUCAUAUUAAAAAAUGUAUUGUUCCAUGAAUUAAUUUUAUUGAAGAAUUCUCAACCAUUAAAUCAAAAAUAUUUAUAUCUGUUGGCUGAAAUUUUAUAGACAAAAUAGACUUUUUCCUUAGUUUUUACUUCUUUGCUAUUCACUAUAUUUUUAAUAAACAAUAUAUCAUUUGCUAUUCAUUAAUAUAUUCGACGGAGUUCCCACUACCAUCGUCGCCCAUCUAAACUUCAAGCAUCACCAUUUUUCAUUACCUUCUCCAUCGUCGUUAGUCGAUUAGUAAUGGAGUUAGAAUUUUCAUAAAAAAGUGUAUAUAUAGAAAAUUUCUAACUUCAUAAAUCUCAAUAUACGCAUUGUUGUUUUAUUCUAAGUCGUGUUACAUAAAAAAAAAGAAUAUAAUACCGCAGCGAAAGAAUUGGCACCGUAAAAAAGGAAGAAUAUCAUUUGAUCACCUUGUUAUCUCCGAACGUAUGAAGAUUAAUCCCCUAUUUGUAUGUUUUGUCCUUGUCGUCCUCGCCGGACUGAGAAAUUAAUUUUACCGCCGCCUGUGCCAGCUCCAUUGUUUCCAUCUCCUCCUCAAAAAACAACAUACAAUAUUUCCAAAAUAAAAAAGGGCAGAGCUUAUCAUACCUACAAACCGAACCUACAGCUACUUGAGAAACAAAAGUGAAAGAAGAUAGAAAAGAAGAAAUCAAGAUCACCAGUAUGGCAACCGCCGUCAGCACCAAAACCAUCAUUAUGUUUCGUCUUAUCUCUACUUUGGUUCUCAGUACCACUGGUAAGUGCUCUGUGUUUAGGUGUAGUUUGGAUCAUUUAUUUGAGAUAUGUGGUAUUUUAAAGUAAAAUGAUGAGUUAUUAACAACGUGGUAUUUUUGAGGUUCAAAUAGCUAAUGGCUUGAGAAUUAUCUUAUUUGGAUAGCUAGUAAGUUAUUCACAUCCUAAAUUUUGUGUUGGUUGUUAAACGAGUUAUUUUGAUGUGAUAUUUUGGAAUAUCUUCGAAAGUGAGUUAUUUGAAAUACCACGGUUCGAAAUACUAGAUUUUGUGUUGGAUGCAAAAUGAGUUAUUAUUUUGACCCAAAUAACUUAGAACGAGAACGAGUUAUUUCGAUCAAAAUAUCUCGCCGAAAUACCUCAUCCAAACAACACGUUAUAUAUGACUGUAUAAAUAUCACAUAAUGACUUGGUUUGGUAUGCCGAAAAUUGGAUGGACUUGAGUAUUUUCCGAGUCGAACAAGAAACUUAGAUCCUGACAAAAUGUGUUUUGAAAAGCAAAUGAUUAAACUCGAUUUGUCGUGUUCCUCAUCCUCAUUUAAGUGACAUUUCAUACAUAUUCGUAUAGUUUUGGGUAUAAGUUUAGGAUGUUUCGUGCAUUUCUAACAUCUAUCUAGAUUUAGUGUCUUAGACUCGUUCGAGGUCCUUUUGAUGUCGUUUUGGAGUGUUUUUUAUGGAUUUCAGGCGCAUAACAACAUCGAGGCAUUAAUCGGAGUGAUAAAGUGUGUGUGGAUGGUCUAGGACAAGCAAUGAGAAACAUUUUGACAUCUGUAAAGAGCAUGGAUCUCGAAUUGGUCGGAAAACGUCGCAGUUUCGUAUUUUGAACAUAUCUCCCAACUCAGAAGUCCGAUUGAUGCAAGACCGGCGGCGUUGGAAAGAUCGUUCAAUUUCCUACAACUUUUAUCCGGGAGUUAAGUCAAUAUUGGCGCAAUGGACCUGUCACACGUAGUGCUAUGCACAUAGCACCAACUUUGACCAUUCAUAGCGUCAAUGUUAACACCCUAUUCUGGAAAUUUCGUAAAUAUUGGCUCUAUGGACCUGUCAAUAUUGGCUCUAGACCUGUCAAAGUUGGCGCUAUGGACCAUAGAGCCAAUAUUGACAUAAGCCCAUAGAGCCAAUAUUAACAAUCCAAGAUUUGAAGGAUUUUUGGAAACUUCUAUUUAAAACCCGGUUCUCCCUCAUUCGAAGACAGACCUUGGGGGACGAAAAUUAGGGAGAAUUUCAGCGACUUCGAGCGACGAGAAGGCACCGACUUCAAGGAUUUCGGGUGGAAAGACAUAAUCAAAAUUGAAGGAUCGAUUUCUUCGACGGUUCUCGGCGAAAUUAGGUUUUUCGAAUUUCUUCUUGUAAACCUAAUUCCAAUGUUUUCCUUUGUUGAUUUUGAUUUGUUCUUCAUUAUUAUGAGUAGUUAAACUCCUCGUGCUUAGAUUAGAUGAACCUUAGGUAAUUCCUUACGAAUGGAUGAUUGCUCGACUUUGGCGAUUUAUGUGAGUUGGAUGGAUUUUGCUUUAUGUUUAAUUUCGUUUCCGUUCUUAUUCUUGCUUGGCCGUCUUAAAUAGAACCUUGUUAGAUUUGUCUUCGUCUCGAAAGAGCUUGCAUAUCUAGAACACCGAAAUUAAUCAUAGGUUAGGCGUUAAUCCUCAUCCGAGAGCGAAUAAACUAGUCCGUCGUGUGAGCAGUUCACGUUUGUUUUGUCACCUAGUAGAUUCUAGAUCUUUGUCCCGUAAGAGCGGACUGGGAUAAUAAAUAGGUAGCAUAUUAGUAGACCCGAAAGGGCAUGAUUUGAUUAGAGAAGAAUUGAGACAAUCAAUUGAAUCUGUCUUGUUUGUUUAAAUCGUGAAAUUUGUCUGUCAUUGGUGAAUUUGGAUAGCCUAGAGGGAUUAGAAAUCUAAACAGUUUUCUCCCAUUUGGUUCAAACUUUAUAUCGUGUAGUCUUGCAGCAUUGUGUUAUUUUCCAUGUGAUUUUCUUUAGAAAUUCGUGAAACCUACACCACAAAACCUGUUUAAUCGAUUAACACUUUUCAUAACUUUGAGUAGUCACGAUAUUUAAAUCUUAGAAAGAUUCGACUCUAGUUAAUUCGUUAACUAAGUUUAUUUUGAAACAAAUAAAAUCCGUUAAUCAAUAAACUUUCUUAUUAUCAUCUAAAUUACAUAGAAGUUACUAUAUGUGUCAAACCAAGUUUGUAAUUUGUAGAUUAACUGUGAAUAUAUACAUAUUAUAUACAGCGAUGAUGAAGGGCGGGCGAAGGUUGGCUCAGGCUACGCCUAAACUGGAGUGCAGCACGGUUUAUGGAACACAAGGUGGAGACACAUGCACUUCGAUGGCAGGGGACUUUGGUCUGAAACUGAAGGAUAUGUUGGCAAUCAAUCCUAACAUCAACUGCGCUACUAUCUUUGUCGGCCAACGGCUCUGCGCUGCCCCUGCUUAGAUCAUAACAUCCAAUUCCAUAAACCAGUACUCAAGACUUGAUGGCUGCUGGGUGAUCAUCAGAAGAAGUUUAACUGUCCUUCUUCAUAUCUUCUCUGUUUUUUUUUUACUUUUUUACAGUAAUGUGUCGUCAAUAAAUUAAUGGCUGCUGCACCAAGCACUGUUGCAAAACACCAUGCUAAGCAAUGUUGCAGUACGCUAAUGAGUAUUUCUUUUGGGCAAUUAAACAUCCCUACUUUUUUUCUUCACCUCCAUCCUCUCAUUAUAUAUCUUCAUCUUAAAUUCUUUUUUUUAAGAACCUCAUGAAACUGUGUAGUUUGACGUUUGUUCGUGUCACCCGCUAAAACCUGCGAUUAAGGUACGAUUGGUUUUCAUAAUUUUAAAGGGCAAAACCGGUUUUAGAGCUCCUUCGGACGGAAUGGUGAAAUAUUCAAGUUGGGUUGGCUUGCCACGUGGAAUUGGUGGAACUGGAAAAUAUUAGCAUUGUAGUGUGUCUAUCUGUAAUUGUGGAUGAAAAACAAAUAUGGUAUUUAGACUAUUAGAGUAUUAGUAAUGUAUGGCUUAUUAGAUGGUGACUUCCUUACAUGUUAUUUAGUUCAAUCUUUAGGGGUAGAAAACUGAGAGUUAACUUUGCUCCGGUGGUUGGAACUAUGCGAGCCGGGCCUCGAUUCAGAAAGAGGAAAUUCAGAAAAAGUCUAAAUAGGGGGUUACGUCUAAAAAAUCCGUGGUUCAAGCUAGCAAUUAGGUACAUUGAAUCAGUCGUGAGAGAUAAAGGUCUUGCUAUGGUCCAGCGGGUUAGGAUUUUUUGGGAGGUCUACUCCUCUCGCCGGACUAGCAUGUUCCACUUCGUUUAACUGGCGAAAAAAGCUUAUAAUGCUGGAUGUAGUAAAAAACAUCAUCUUUCACCUUUUACGAUGAACGAGAACCCCAAAUUUCCACCGCCGAGACUGACCAACAGAAAACAAAGUCCAAUUUUGGACGCGAAAAUCAGAGAUAUGCCAAAGCCAAGCUCAGACAAACAGAGCAAAUGCAGAGGAGGUGGUGUUAGUUUUCUUCAGACAAAUGGUGGGUCGAAAAUGAAUCUCAGGCGCCACAGCGGCACGUACUCAUAAACUCAUCACCACCUCAUUCCCCCUCCAUCUGCAAUGUGUCACCUGAACUGUUCUACCCAUGCAAUGACCAUGCAACCACCGACUACUCUAUAAAAACCCUCCCGCCCUUCUCCUACUUCACUCCAUCAUCUCCAACUUCAGCUUUACUCAUGAUGGCAACCAAACUAGCCGCCGCAUUCCUUGUUCUCUCUUGUCUCGCCGCCGCCACCUCCGCCGAGCACAAUCAAGGCCGGACGACCACUCCUCUGGAGUACCAAUUCCAGGCUCAGCAUUGCAACCUCGACCGCAUCUCUCCAGCCCAGCCUAACUUCCGCCUGCAAUCGGAAGGUGGAGUCACCGAGCUAUGGAACCCCCACGAGGACCAGUUCAUCUGCGCCGGCGUCGCUCCGUUCCGUGACGUCAUCCAGCCCCAAUCCCUCUCCGUCCCCAAGUUCUUCCCCGCCCCUCGCCUCGUCUACGUCCAGCAAGGUUCAUUUUUGAAUUUGAAAUACCAUAACCAAAUUCACCUAUCAAAACACACCCGAAGAUAUUUUGAUAUUUGAAAGUUUUUGUGUACAGGGAACGGAGUGUUGGGGUUGAACUUUCCGGGCUGCCCGGCGAUGUACCACAGCGGGCAGGCACAAGGACAACAGCAGAGAGGAUCAAGGAGGAUGAUGGGAGGAAGCGGAGGAGACGAGCACCAAAAGAUCCACAGGAUUCGCGAGGGUGACGUCAUCGCCAUCCCUGCCGGCGUUGCUACUUGGGGCUACAACGACGGUAACCAGGACCUCGUCUACGUCACCUUUGUUGACCUCAACAACGACGACAACCAGCUCGAUCAAAACCUCAGGGUCCAAACUUUCCCUCCCCCACUAUAUUAAUUUCCUCACUUGCCACUAAUUUGGAUCGCUAAGUACUAUACGACGAUGCUCUGUUUUUUUGAGAGCUGACGAUGGUCUGUUUUUCAGGGGUUCUUGCUGGGAGGAGGACAAUCGGAUCAGCAAAGGCAGAGCAGGCCGACAUGGGGGAGGAGGACUUACCAGAUAGGGGAAGGAAGGGAAGCCGGCGGGCAGUCGCUGAUGUCGGCCAACGUCUUCCAAGGGUUCGACGAGGAGCUGAUCGCCGAGGCGUUCGACGUUCCAACGGAGACCGUCAGGAGGAUGCAGAACGACAACAGGGGUAUUAUCGUCAGAUGCCAGGAAGAGAUGAGCUUCGUUACCGAGGAAGAACAACAGAUGCAGGAGAUGGACAGGUGGCGCCAAUCUAAAGGAGGAAGGUACAGCAUUAACGACGAAGAAAACGGAAUCGAAGAGACCUACUGCAGCAUGAAGAUCAAGCACAACCUGGAGAAACCACUCCAGGCCGAUUUCUUCAGCAGGGACGCCGGUAAGAUCAACGUCGUCAACCGCGACAAGCUCCCAAUCCUUGGCUACUUGGACAUGAGCGCCGAGCGAGGCACCAUUUUGCCCGUAAGCUACCUCUCAGACUGACUUAAAACAACAAUUUUCAAUUGGUAAUCUCUUAAUUAACCAAUUUUGUUGGUUAUGAAUGAAACAGAAUGCAAUGUACACCCCACACUGGUCAAUGACAGACCACAGGGUGGUGUACGUGGUGGCGGGAGAACUACAGGUGCAAAUCUCCGACGACAAAGGAAACCAGAUCAUGAACAACAGGGUGCAGGAAGGGGAAAUGUUCGUGAUCCCACAGUUCUACGCCACAAUGGGAAUGGCAGGGAACCAAGGGUGUGAGUAUCUGACGUUUAAGACGUCUGGGAAGCCGAUGAAGCAUCAGAUAGGGAAGCCGAUGAAGCAUCAGAUGGCAGGGUACACAUCGGUGAUGAGAGCGAUGCCGAUCGACGUGAUCAGCAACUCCUUCCAGAUGUCGCCGAGGGAGGCAGAGCAGCUGAAGAUGAACAGAGACCCUGAGUCCAUGUUGCUCUCUCCCACCAGCGGAAGCAGCAGGGUUUAGAAAGGAUUAUGUUCUAGUUUGUUUUUAAGAAAAAGCUCCUUCUCUUGUAGAGAUCGAGAAGGAGAGGGAAUAAUAAUAAUGACUCCUACUUUGUAAUCUUCUAUCAUGCUUAGUAGAGAGCAAGGAGGCUAGACAAAAGCUGUACCGAGUUUAAGCAGCCAAUUAUGAAUCCACCUUAAUAAUAAUUACUGUGGCCUAGUUUUGCUGUC
rnacentral:lncRNA from 1 species